UUUUUUUUUUUUUUUAAAAGUUUGGCAUGUUGUGGAACCCAGUGUUAAAUUUAACAGUUUUUUUUUAUUUUUUUGGUUAGUUUUAGGACUAAGGACUAAAAUGAUCAUCUUUUCAUAUACAUUAAGGACUAUUUGGAUGAGAUGAUAUAUAUAAAUUGAGCUGUCAAUAUGGGCUGGCUCACCCCAUUCGGGAUAACACAUACAAACUUUGAAAUUUAACAGGUGGGCUAGCCCAUGUUUGUGAUGGGCCAGAAAAUGGUCGGUCCAGCCCAUAAGUACGUGGGCUAAGGGCUUUGCCGGGACAACCCUCUCUUCUUAAAAGUAUAUUUUUUAUAAUUUUUUAAAUUAAAUUAUAAUUUUAAAAUAUUAUCAUAAAUAUCGACAAGAAAUAUUACAUGGUGUUAAUGUUACUUACUACUUGUUAAUCAAAUCUACAAAUAAAUUAUCUUUAUAAUAUUUAUUAAGUUUGAUUUCAAGUAAAAGAAUAAAUAGCUAAAUAUAAAUAUUAACCUAAUUGUUUUCCAAUGAUCAUAAUAAAACACAAAAACUAUGACAAUAUUCCAUAGGCUACGACAUAUGUAGUGGUUCCCUAGAAAUUUUAGGGAAUUUUUAUUUUAUGUAGUACAUAUUUUAUAAACAUAAUUGUAUUUAAAUAUGUAAUAUUUCAAACUUUAAACNNNNNNNNNNNNNNNNNNNNNNNNNNNNNNNNNNNNNNNNNNNNNNNNNNNNNNNNNNNNNNNNNNNNNNNNNNNNNNNNNNNNNNNNNNNNNNNNNNNNNNNNNNNNNNNNNNNNNNNNNNNNNNNNNNNNNNNNNNNNNNNNNNNNNNNNNNNNNNNNNNNNNUUUUUAAUUAAUUUUUAUUUGGCCCACGGGCCAGCCCUAUCCAUAUUUCUCAAGCCCCACAAAUCGGCAGACUUAUUUAGGUCGGGCUAAAAAGCCCUUUUCUUAAAUGGGCUCCAAAAAUCAUAGCUUAGUCAUAUCAAAUCACGGGUUAGGCCAGGCCGGCCUAACGGGCCUAGCCCAUAUUGACGGCUCUAUACAUAAAGGACCAAAAUACUUCAACUCCUAUACAUCAAGGACAAUUUUGAUCAUUUUCUUGUUUCAUUGAUGUAAAUUAAUAAUUAUGCAACAAACACUUAGUACUUGAGACUUCAGGUAAUUGAAUCUACUAAACGAGCUUAUUAAUAAGAGGUUUUUCUUCUUCUUUUUAUUCAAUCAGGAUAAUCUGAUAGUUUUGGCCAUGAAAGCAACUCAAGGGCACUACUAUGAUAAGUGUAAAUAAAGCCCCGAAAGAAUUUUCCGUGACCACAAGUACACCCCCAUCAAAUUAAAUCACAAUGGCAAGAUAUAAACUUAGUUGCUGAAUGCAUCACAAUAUCUGAAAAAUAACGGAACAUUUAAGGUAACCAGCACCUUGAGAAUGUUAGCACAAGAAGGUUCAUGUUACCAGAACAAGGAGUAUCUGCAGAUACCUACUCCAACGUCCAGAAGAUGGGAGUGUACAAGGGACAUAAUACUGUUACCAACCAGUACAAGAGAACCAUGUCAAAACACAUAUAAGAAAAAGAAGCAAUUAUCUAUUGGAAUUUAAUAGACUUUAACAUAUCAACAACCAUGAAAGAACACCAAUACAAGAGAAAUGACAUUUGCUUAUCAAAUGAACAAUAACUAGUAGUCCACCAAAGAACGACAGUACGUAUAUUGAGUUUUGGGUUAUUACAUAUUCGUAUAUUGAGUUUUGGGUUAUUACAUAUUCUUUUCCUCCAAUUUGAAGGCUUUUGGGUUUACUCUUACAUAAUUAUUACCAAAUCCACUAGAGAACGACAAUACGUAUAUUGUAGAAGUGAACAAAAAGGGAAAAAAAUUCAUUAGAAUUAUAAAGCAGUGUCAUUUUCUGAGUAAAUAGCAAAGUAUUACAACCAUCGCUCCACUAAAUUAAUCAAGGCACUGAGGCACAGCAAAAUAUUCCAUCGCAACCACAUAAUAUACAACUAUAUGCACAUAGUUUGGUACUUGUAUAAUAAGAAUUAUUAAAGAUAAUCUAAAGUAGACCACUUGAGCAAAGUUUAUUAAAAAUAUAAUAUCAACAAAAACUAAAAUAGAAAAAAGAAGAAGGAGAAAAUCAAAACCAAACCUAGGACUUUAAUAUGCAAGCUGGCGACAAUUGGAACUGACGAGAGGCAAGGCAGAUAGAGAGCCAUCAACAAUAAAGAAAAAUCAAAUUGAGGGAGAAGAGAUAUUGAUAGAUAGAGUGAGGGAGAGAUGAUUCGGAUUGCCUAGUGACGACAACCGUUGAUUGUAUAUUCAUUAGCUUGACUCCUCUUUUUGAUGCCAUACCGGAAGAGUCUUCCUCUUCUAUAAAAUCUCAUAGAAUCAUUGUGAGUAAGGCUUUUCAUAUUACUUGUUGAUCGAAGGCGUCAAUGAGUCAUCCACCUUAUCAAACACACUCACCUUCCUCUUCCGCAUUGUUCCUAUCCAGAACAUCUAAAAUCCACCACAAAUCCAAAAUCGUUGUAACACCUCAAAAAUCUACCUAAGACUGAACCAGGAAAAUAGGUGAACCACAGAGGCCCACGAGCCCUUACACGGACUGCGAAACCCCACACGGUCCGUCAAUAUGCCCAUGAAAGCAAGCUAGAGACCCUCCAAGGAGAGUGAGGAACCACAGACCACUAGACGGCCCAUGGAACCCUAUACAGUCCAUCAAGUGUGUAGUGGAAAUGACCGAGUACAACCCCAACUCACUAUAAAGAACCAAGGUGGCCUACAUGGCCCCUGGUGCUUCACAAAGCCUAUGAAGUGGACUGUGAAUAGGGCAGUUCAACCUUCAAGUUUUGGGUCAACUUCAAAUAGUCAUAUCUUUUAGCACAAAAUGAAUUUUGUGGCCCAUGACCUAUCGAAUUAAAAAUCAUUGAGUCAUCUUUCCAACGCCACCAAGGUUGCUAAAAUCUAAGCUCGAAAUAAAAAGUUACUCUUGUUUUAGUAGAUCCCUAUUGGGUAGGGCCAUAACCACGACCCAGUUGAUGGGCCGUGGUCCUAUUGACGGUCUGUCAGUCCCAUCGUGAAGGCCACUUCAUCAGUUUUAAGUUAGGGUCAUUUUGGUCUUUUCCCCUAAGCAUUGGGCACUUAAACUACGUCGUUUGAUGCCUAAACUACGUCGUUUUACUAUGUCUAAGCCUAAUAAUCUAGUCAGACAAUUAUCCAAAAAUCGCCCAACUUAUAGAGAAAAGAAGAGAAAGAGGCAACCAACUCUCCCAAGAACAAGCAAAAGCGUUCUUCGAAGUUCAACCCCGAAAUCCAAAGGAUUUCUCCGUAGAUUUCGUCACCAGGUAUGUGGGAUUUGGCUAGUGGGUUCCUCUCACCCAUUAGGUCCCUAGAAUUUAGUUAGUUCUUUAUAUUCUCAUCAACUAUUCAGAUCUAGGGUUUCUAGAUUUUCAAUAUUUAUUGUGAUUAUAGUUCCUUUGAUCUAAAUAACUUGUUUCUUGAUAAUUUCGUAUAAUUCCAUGCAUAACACUCAUAACCCCAGCUUGUGUAAAUUUAUCCAAGUUCAUGAAUUAUACUUGCUAUGCCAACUAGACAGAAAUUCAUGCCUCAAUUAGCAUGUUAGUUUUUGAGCUAUUCAGUAUAUAGUGCAUUUUAGCUUCAUGAAUAUUCAGGUUGGAGUAGACUUAGCACCGAGUUGGACUAGGGUUUAGCAUAGCCUCAAAGUCCUAGAACUACGUGCUCGCAUAGGUUUAUAAGUCCACUCAGUUGGGCAUCAGAUUCAGUGAUCACACUAUACUUUUUCCUCUAUACCCCUAGCAAGGUAUAUUGCGUCCUCUCGAUGUGGUGUAUACAUUAGACUCCAGGUUUAGCUCACGUGGUUUAUAUCUAUUGAUAGUAGCUCUCAUAGUCAGACUCAUAGUGCAUUGACCAAGUUUUCAACAUUUACUUUAGUAUACAAUUCAACAUGGUAUCUUCAUGAUUAGUACUUGGUCAUUGCAUCUAGUUUUGUUUUCAGUACAUAUCUAUAUCCUUGUUCAAAUUAUAUCAUUGCUCAAUUAUGCUUUGUUGAACUUAUAUAUUUUGUUUAGCUUAGAAUAUCUAUCUUUUGCAUGCUCAUUACAUUCCAAGUAUUGACACAUACUUUGCGCUAAAUCAUUUCAUGAUGUAGGUUCAGACACUCAACAUCCAGAUUACGCUUAGUUUGAUCCUCAAUCAGACUUCUGCAGCUUCGGUGGAGAGUCCUCGUACUUCGAGGACAAUAAAUAUGCUUUAUCUUUUAGUCUUUAUUUUUAGUUUCAGUCUUGCUAAAGUUAGCUCGGGGAAUGUCCGAAAAACUCAAUUUAGUUAGAGGCUUUUCAGACAUAGUAGUAGAUUCAACUCAUGUUCUUAAGUGUUGUUUUAGUCAUCACUAAACUCUUAUUAUAUUUUAGAUUUUUAGACUAGUUGGGUUUUCCCCAUUUCAGCUAUCCAUUAUUUUUAGCUUCUGCAUAGUACAUGGUUUACUUAGUUAUUUUUCAGUAUGCUUGUUAUAUGCUAGACUCAGAGUUAGCUUUGGGUCACUCGUGAUCGUAGGUCCCGUGUUACGUUUAGGGGGUAGCCUCGGGGCGUGAAAAACUUGGUAUCAGAGCAUUAGGUUCAAGAGUCCUAGGUUGUCUGAAAUUCGUACUUAGUAGAGUCUCUUUCAUGCGUGUGAAGCACACCACAUCUAUGAGGGGGAGGCUCUGAAGUGUUUUAAAAAAAACUUCACUUCCUAUUCUAUUCUUAUCGUGCGUGAGGUGUGAUCCAAAGUUUCCUUUCUAAUCCAUCAUUAUACGUUUCUGAUCUUGCCUCUUCGUAAAGCUAACACACGGAAUGCUAAUAAUUGGAGGCGUAAAAUCUAGUAAUACCAAUCUAACCAUAAACUUCAUAUCGUAGAAUAGAUCCUUUCAAACCAUGAUUUCAUAACAUACUCAUAAAGAUACUUAUCUAAAGCAUCUAAAUCAUGAUCAUCUUUCAUAAUGAGAAAAAAUCAAUUGGUAGUAACAUUUUCAUAUAAACAUAUUGAUACAUUAUCUAAAAGUAUCCUUGAUUCAUAAAAUCCCUCAAUUCAUGAUGCAUGCAUAGUCUGAAAGCAUAGUUCAUAAUCAUAAAUAUGCAUAAAACAUGGGUUCAUAUGGAAUUCAUUGAAAACAUAUAAUUAUGAUUAAAUCAUGCAUAAUAAGAUAAAAAAUAGUGAAUUGAUUCAUAAACAAUUGAACCCAUAAGAAAACUUGCAAAACCCUAGAAUUUGGGUUAGAAUCAUAGAAGAGAAAUUGAGAAUUCUUGGGACUCAGAGGAUGGAAAGGGAUCCAUUGAUGAUCUUCCCACAUAUAUUUAUUAACCUAAGCUUUUUAAUUGGAGAAGCAAGCUUGAAGCUUGAACAACCCUAGAAAUUUUCCUUGAUACUUGGGAGAGAAUUUUGAGAUAAAACAUUGAGAGCUUUUGGGGGUGGUUUUGAGUGAAUGAAAGGGAAUGGGUAGUUUUUGAAAGGUAAAAGCAUUUAUAGGACGUAGAAAUAGGCAAUAAAUGACAUAGUUUAGGUGUUAAAAGAAUAGUAAAAGACUCUAAUAACCCUGAACUAAAAACUACCAGAGUGACUUACGGACCCAUGUACGGUCCAUGUAAGCUCCUAUGGACCGUACCGAUCAUUUGUAGGUCGCAAUACUAGAAACCAAAAUCCUUAGUCAAAGCCACGAGCCAUUUCAUAUGGCCCGUCGACCACCCUAGGACCCAAGUCCCUUUCGUAUAAUCAAAGUCCAAAAAUAUCUUCCAAGUCAAAUCACUUUCCACGAGCUCUGAUCUAUGGACCGUCUAGACUUGUAAGGUUCAUACAGUUCACCUAUAUAAGUUAAGGUUCCAAAGUCACCAAGGUUGAAUCUCCUUCUAUGGGUACUUUCUAUGAUCCGUAGAGGUUCCAAUAGACUGUCCUUUUGGUUCGUAGACCUUUGUUUAGGACUUGUCAAUUUUCCAAUUUUCCCACUUGCUUCCACGAGUGCCUCUUAUGGAUCAUAGAUCAUUGUACGGUCCAUAGGUGCAUCCGUGAAAUCCCGCAUGAACAACCAUUUCUAUUUUUUUCUUUCUAACUUAGCUUACCAAGUUUUGUGGUGUUACAACCAUCGGACCUCUGAUAAUAGUAGUCACCACUAUCUGUCCUUGACCUCUCUGUUUCUUUAUCACUAUAUUUUAGCUUUUCCUCCUCAAUUUAUUGAUCAUGAUUCAUCAACCUUGAUAUGUCCAUCUCAUUAAUCAACAUUACGGUUCUACACUCUUUGACCACCAUUUUUGAAACACUGGAAACAAACUUACUCAUCUGAAAUCUAGAAUCAACAACCAUUGCCGAAGCAUAUUUUGAUAGUUGAGUGAACUUUAAAGCAUGUUCAUUCACGCUCAUAUCCCUUUGCCUCAAAUUAAUAAAGUCUUGCACUUUGUCCUCCUCAUCUCAAAGGGAAAUAAUCGGUCAAGAAAUGCUCAUUUGAACUUGUCCCAAUCUAAGGACCCACAUCUAAUUCCCUUUCUUUCUUCUAUUUAUCAAACCAGACUUGAGAAACCCCUUUCAAUUAGUAAGUAGCCAAGUUUUCCCUUUAAACUAGAAUCAUACCCAUAAUGUCCACAAUCUUAUGAAUCCCUUUAGUGAACUCUUAUGGAUCUUCGUCCACCUUGGAACCAUGGAAUUCUAGAGGAUUCAUCCUUAUGAAGUCUCAAACCUUUGUCGCAUCAUAUUGGAUUCAUGGAAGGUACAACCUCUCUCUUAGCUUGAGUCAUCAUAGCUUGAGCCAACACUUGGAAAAUGGCCCUAAAUUUAGCAUGUGAUACUUAGUUGGCCAAACGAUCGACCAAAGCUUGUGGAGCUUCAAGUUCCACAUUCAUAUUCCUUAUCAACACAGCUCUUCUGGAGACAUGUUAUGAAAACACAUAAAAUAAGAGUUAGAAGGAAACAUUUAUAGAGUUCAACUCUAUCACAUGACUUAAGAGUAAUGAAAGAAAUGAAGUUUCUUAAACAUUAUUUAGCUUUCUAUUCAUAUAUGUGGCGCGAUUCACACCCAUGAACAACACUCUACUAACGUGACUCUUCAGACACCCUAUGACUCUUAAACCUUACUCUUUAAGUACCAAGUUUGUCACAACCCAAGACUACCUCCGAACGUGACAUGGUGAAUAAAAUCUCAAAAGACUAAUAAAUGAACCACAUGACAUAGCAUGACACUAAGAUAACAUUAUACCAGAAAUAAAGAGAUAAGCAGAAUAUAAAUCUCAAAUGCCAAUAUCAACAUAUAAGAGAAUCUGAGUACAAAAACCAUAAUGUGGAACAUAUUAUGUCUGACAAUAAGCCUCUACUACAUAAGCGUGUAUAGGACAAGCCCUACCCAACUAGAACAAUCUUAAAACUAAAGUAAAGUUUGAAAUGACUUCAAUGCAUAAGUGUGGCAAUGUCUCCGAACCAUGAGGACUCACCAAAAGUUGUAUAGGCUGAGAGAAUUUGUGCUAACCGCAAGUUGGGUGAGGAGUGCUGAAACCUAUAUUAUAAAACAACAUAUGUGAUAACGCUCAAAUUACCCUCAAAAUAAGUUAAAAGAGUAAGAGGUCAUCGUCAAUAAAAAUACCCAACUAAAAAUCUGGGUCGAAUCCCUAAAGGAACAAUUAGUUGGCAAUUAAAAAGACAAAGAAUUGCAAGCUACGAGUUUGAAUCUCAACUUAAUAAUAAACAAUUAUCAAAGAGAGGAUGGUUUAGUCACACAUAUAAGAAUUGGGCAAAAAACUAAUCAAUUAAGGUAUAAUUGGGAAUUGGGAAAUUCAGAACUCAACACUCAUUCAAUGAUUCAUUGCAAUCUCAACACAUGCUCAUCAAUUAUAGGUAGGCUAGGUCAUCCUUAACAACACUAAUCUAAUUUCGGUCUCAAAGUGCUAUAUCGUGAAAUCUCCUUUCAGUCUUAACCAAGUAAUUCAACACAAUAACCCAAUACCUUAAUUUAGACCUCUUAUUCGAGCAAGCCUUGUAUUCAACAAUGAAAACCUAUUUUUUCUCCUUUCGGUAUCAAACUCAAGAUUCAAAGCUAAAAUGUGGUUAUUAAUCUAAUUCUCCACUUCACGAGUUCUCUUUCGAGCAACCCACAAAGAUCAAAAUCUAGAUCUGAGAUUGCACUCUCAAAUCUUAAAUUCAAACAAGAAAACUAGAUUAAACCUAUUUCAAGAAAACAUGGAAUCACAGACAAAAGUAAUAGAUUAGAAAUUAGAGAUCCAAUUAGCAAUUACACCCACAAUUCAUGCAAUUCAAAGUAAGGAAAAGAAGAUAGAGUAAGAGAUUUUACUAAUAAGAACACAAUCUUCAAUCCAAAGAUGAAUUACAAGGAAACUUGCCUUUAAAAUCUCAACAGAAAAUAUGAAAUCUAAUACUAAAAGUUUUUCACUAGUCUAAGCUAAAAGAUAAAAUUCAAUAUUCUCCAAUUGUAUGAUAAAAAUUAGAUUCUCUUCUAAUGUCUUCUUCUUCCGCCCUUUGUGAGAAUUUGGGUCCAAAUCCGUGAAAUUCUAAUUUUCCCCUGUCCAAAUAGUUGGGCCUCUCAUAAGUGUACUUCACAAAAGUGAACAUAUGUUGGCUAAAGCGACCCUCGCCUUUUUGGGCUCCUUAAAAAAAUGAACCAUGCUUGGUCGCUUGAGAGACCAGUUGACUUCAGUUGACCAUUCGCAAAAGCAAACUUCCUUUCUGUAGGUGCGAUAUCAAAGGUCAUUUUCUGCCAGUUUUAACUUCUUUUUCCACUCUUGUCCAUCAAUUUCCUUUAAAGCAACAAAUAGUUGAAAUCAUCACAAUUAAACAAAUAAUUAUCCACUUUUUUUACUUGACUACCACAAAAUCAUAAGAAAAGAGCCUCAAAUGAGUGGAACUUCACCACUCAUCAAUAGGUAUACGAGAUGUAUGCGACCAAUAUUCAGAAUGUACAGAGCAUGAGGAAAGAUGCAUGAAUAUAGGCAUAAUAACAUAAUAAGUCUGAAAGCAUGAUAAUGCAAUAACCAAGUAAAGUAUGACAUAAAAAUUGAUAAUGUGAUUCUAAAAAACAUAAUACAAAGUCAAUGCAAUAUUUUAAAAAGAGUUAUAAUCAUAUCAUAAGUCUUUUGUCGGAGAUAUUGUUAACCGACAUAAACCAUGUGAGCUAUAACAUGAGUCUAGUGUACUACUCUCACAUCGAAAAUAGAGUGUUCUACUUUCCAAGGUAAGGACCAUAAUAACGAGCUUAUGUGGAUCCACUAACUAGAGUCACUUAAGACUAAGUCCUCUAGGGACACGUAGUUAUGGGACAAGGGGAUUGUUUCUAAUGAACUCCGCUCUACUAACGGGUGAACCUCUAUCCCAAAGUCCUCUCGGUGCUAAAUCCCAAUGGAAACAUGUUUUCACGAUCCAAACUACCUCCUAGACGUGACAUGGCGAAUAGGACCCCAAAAGACCCUAAACAGGCCACUUGAAACAAGCAUAACACUAAGAUGAACAAUAUACAAAAGUAAAGAGAUUAAGUGGAAUAUUAGUCUAAAUACUUCAAUGACAUACGAUACUAAAAAUAAGAGUAGAAUGAACUUACAAGAAGAAACAUAUUAAGUUUGUCAACAAGCCUCUAUAUCAUAGAAGUGACUAGCAAAAAUCCCCAGCUCAUGAAAGAAGUUUGAAAAUUAAAAUGAUUGAAAUAGACAAAAACCCAUAACAUGUGAUCAUGCCCUAGAACAAUGAGGACUCACCACAAGCUAAGAAAAAUUGAACAAAUCUGCUAGUCAUGGUUGGAUGAAGAAACAUUGGACCCUAUAUUAUGAAACAAUAUAGGCACAAAAGAUAAAUGUAUCAGUACUUUGAAUGUACUUAAUAUGGGGAGCAUACAUAAACAUAUAUGUGAAACACGCUAAGUCUUGAGAAUAUAAUGAUGUAUGACCCAGUAAGACAUAUCAAAUCUUGAUAACAAGGUCAAUGUAACAUUUAAAAAUCAUAAAAUAAGCUUAAAUCAUAAUAUUUGAGGAAGUCAUGAACUCUUUAAAGAAAAUCAUAAUCUUUUGUAGGAUGUCUACUAUUAAUUGACAUAGACCAUGUGAGUUAUAACAUCAGAUCGUGUCUUUCCCAUAUCGAAAAGAAAUUGUCCUACUUGUCAUGGUAAGGACCAUGUUCUUAAGCUUAGGUAGAUCCACUAACUAUGUCCAAUCGAAAUGAAGUCUUAUGGGAAAUGUAGUUAUGGGACAAAUGAAUUGCUACUAGAGGCCCGUCCUCUACUAACGGGGGUGCCUCCAUCCUAAAGUCAUCUCGGUGCCAAGUAAACUCGCAAUAGAAAUAAGCAUAAUCAUAUCAUAUUCGUAAUACUUGGAAAGAUAAGAAUAUAAUAAUACCAAUCCAAUCAUAAACUUCACAUCAUAGAAUAGCUCCUUUCAAAAUCAUGAUCUCAUAUCAUAUUCAUAAUGACACUUAUCGUAAGCAUCUAGAUCAUGAUCAUCUUAUAUAAUGAGAAUACUUUACUUUGAAGAAAUAUUUUUCAUAAAACAUAAUGAUAUUUUAACUAAAAGCAUCCUUAAUUGAUAAAUUCUUCAAUUUCAUUAUGAAUGUAUAGUCUCAAAAUAUAGUUCAUAACCAUAACAUAGACCUAUGUCAUGGGUUCAUAUGUAAUUCAAUGAAAAUAUGUUAUUUGAAUCAAAUCAUGAAUAAGAUCAAAUAUAAUGAAUUUGACCAUAAAUAAUUGAAGUCAUGAAGAAUCAUAUAAAAUCCUAAACAAUUGGGUAGAAUUCAUAAAAGAAUUUGAGGAUUUCUUGGGACUCAAUGGAUGAAAGAGAAUUCAUUGAUGAACUUUCCACAUAUCUUGAUAAAUCCAAGAUUUGAAAUUAGAGAAGGAGACUUGAAUGUUUGAAGAAUCCUAAUCCGCUUGAGAGAAUCCUUGAAGAGAAUUUGGAGAGAAAACCUUGAGGGGAUUUUGGGCGUUUGAGUGAAUGAGAGGGAAAUAGGUAGAUUUGAAGAGUAAAAGCAGUUAUAUGACUUAGUUAUAGGGUCAAAAUGACAUAGUUUAUGCGUACAAAUGGUAGGAAAAUACUCAAAUAUCCCUGAUUUAAGACCGUAAGAAGGACUCGACAAACUGACCUACGGUCUGUACAAGUUUCUACGAGCAUCCCUAGAACAAACAUGAGAGGUAUUAUUUUCUUAUCAAAACUAUGAUCAUCUCCCACGGUCCCUAGAUAUUAACCGUAGAACCCAAGGUCAAUAAAAAUUUCACCAAGUCUCGAACUCUUCCUACGACCACUUCCUGCGGACCAUAGGAUCAUGUACGUCCGUUGGUGGUCUUGUCUAACAUACGCAACAACAAAUUUUUGCAACAUCUUUCCAACUCAAUCUACCGAUUUUCGAGGUGUUACACAUGCAUAAUCAUAUCAUAUUCAUAUCAUAAUCUUUGAAAUGGUAAGAAUCAAGUAAUCAUUCAUAACUUCAUAUCAUAAGAAUAACUCCUUUAAAUCAAGAUAUUAUAACAUACUCAUAAAAGAUACUAAUCUAAAGCAUCAAAAUCAUGAUCAUCUUUCAUAAUGAAAAGUACUUCAAUUGAAAAUAUUCAAUUUCAUAAAACAUGUUUGAUACAUUAUUUAAAAGUAUUUUUGAUUCAUAAACUCUUUAAAUCAUCAUGCAUGCAUAUCAACAUAGAUUAGUUUAGAAAUAAAAUACUUGUAUAGCAUGGGUUCAUGUAAACAUCAUUGAAAACAAUUAUAUGAUCAAAUCAUGCAUAUUAAGAUCAAUCCUGAUGAAUAAACUUAUAAUCAAUUAAACCCAUACACAAAUCAUGAAACCCUAUAAUUUGGAUGAGAAUCAUAAAAGAGAUUUUGACCUUUUUCUGAGACUCAAUGGGUGAAGAGGAACUCAUGGAUGAAUUUACCACAUACCUUGAUGAAACCCUAGGUUGAACUUGGAACAGGAGACAUAAAGCUUGAAGGAACCCUUGAUUCACCUUGAGAGAAACUUGGAGAAGAAGACUUGAGGUUUUUCAGAGAAUGAAAGCAAAUGAAGAGGGUUUGAGUCUUAGAAAUUGUUAUAGGUCCUCAAAAUAGCUAGAAAUGUCAUACUUUAGGAAUUGAAAGAGUAGAAAAAUACCCAAUUAACCCUGAGAAAAUAACUAUCGGACCAUUCCAUGGAUCCCAUGUACGGUCCAUACACUGAACCAUAAUUGUACUGCCCAUUUGUACAUCCCUUACUAGAAGUUCACAUAUUUGAUCACAAACCACAGACAACAAUCUACGAGUCUUAGAUCAUCACACGAGACAUACACUCCUCUCGUACAGUGAGCCUUAAUGAUAAGGCCCUCAAGCUUGGGACCACUGAUCGCCAAGUACGGACCGUCAUUUAUUCUAUGGUCCGUACUAGUCAGUCGUCUACCACUUACUGAAAACAUCUAGUCUCAGACGGCCAACUACGAGCAACCAACCAUGACCUAUAUUUUCCAAUACGACUCGUACAAGCUCACCGUGGAACUCAAUGCACCAAAAUCACUAAGUCUGAUGUCCAAUCCAUAAGACAUAAGCACGACCCACAGAUGAUGAGUCCACAAAUUGGACUCAUUUAGGGCUUUAUUUUAAUAGAAAUAGUGUCCUUGAAUGCUUGUUUUAUCUCAAUAUCUGAUUAAAAUGCUAAAGUUUCAGGUAUUUAAAUUUUUAGUGGAAGCAUGGACACUUAGGCUCAAAACGGAGAAAAUAGGGUUAAAAAGAACAAGAAAUGGAAUCCUGCGGAUCGUUGAGUUCAACUUGGCGAGUCGCCGAAACGACAUGAACUGCCCUUCGUUCCAGUACGCGAAGCCUUGAAGGAAGUGGAUCAAAAGGUGAGGAAAAGAGCAGUCGGCGAGUCGCCGAUUAGUUCCGCGAAGCAGCACUGUACCGCCCAAUGAUCCAGAAUGCGAGGAUGCUAAAGGCAAGACACUGAAGGCGAUGAGCUGACCAAAAGGCGGAUCGCCGAGUUUAUCGGCGAUUUCGACUAAUGUCUCCGAACAAUCCUCCGUAGAACAAUCUGUGAAAACUAUAAAUACUAGUUAGAAUUGUAGUCUUAAGGUGGAACAGUUUUAGAGUAAACAAUUAUUAUUAGUCUAUAGUAUUUUUCUCUCAAGCUCUCUCAAGUUGGAGAGGGUUUUGUGGAAACUUGAAGAAAGGAGUUCUUCUUCUCCAAGUUGGAAGUGGGUCUUCUAUAUUCAUUUUCNNNNNNNNNNNNNNNNNNNNNNNNNNNNNNNNNNNNNNNNNNNNNNNNNNNNNNNNNNNNNNNNNNNNNNNNNNNNNNNNNNNNNNNNNNNNNNNNNNNNNNNNNNNNNNNNNNNNNNNNNNNNNNNNNNNNNNNNNNNNNNNNNNNNNNNNNNNNNNNNNNNNNNNNNNNNNNNNNNNNNNNNNNNNNNNNNNNNNNNNNNNNNNNNNNNNNNNNNNNNNNNNNNNNNNNNNNNNNNNNNNNNNNNNNNNNNNNNNNNNNNNNNNNNNNNNNNNNNNNNNNNNNNNNNNGAACUUAUUUCCAUUUAAAGCUUAGCCUAGUCACUAUUAUCUUGCAAAUUUCCUAUUGAAAGCAUGUACCCACCAAUUUAUCUCAACUUGUAUUGCGAUCACAUCCCAAGAACUUUUCCCCAUACUUGAUUUUCUUGUUUAUUUUGCUGUUUGAGUACUUGUUACAAAACCCCCUUUGAUAUUUGACACUUUUGUGUCACCACUUUUUAAUUUACUAUGUCUUUUAUCGCAAAUGUCUUUAACUACGACUAACUUGAAUGAAAUUUUAAUUGGUUGUUAAUUCUCAAAACCGCUCCCUUGGAACACGACCCCAACCCUCGGUUGGGUUACUAUAUUAUUGACGAUCAUAGACACUCAUAUCGUAGGAUAGUGUCGUUAGUCACGAUAAGCAUCAAUAGACCAAUCCAUGAGCCAUCCUAUUGGCUCGUGAAACCAUAUCCAGGACUUGACAUUUUUUCUAAAUUCCAAAGCACUAACUAUGAUCGGGCAUCCAAGACCCGUGGAUAAUGUACGAACUGUACAUGCCUCUCAUGGAUCAGUGCACUAGUAAAUUUUCUAUAACUUUUCACUUCCAAUCUAACUUUUGCACUUCUGAGGUGUUACAAGAGGAGAGACCAAUUAUUGUAAGAAAUAUUGAUAGAGUAAUAGUGAAGAAAUUCCUAUCUUGUAGAGGAAGAAACCUCAAAUUUUGGUCAAUAUAAACUUGAAAUUCAAGUUUUGUUGAUCAAAUUAUCUUGGAAUGAAGAUUUCCUUUAUGAGUAUUGUCUCUAUUUCUUCUUUUAUGAGUAGUUAGAACCUUAACUAGGGGUGUGUGUGCUAGAUGGGGGUGUAAAAUCUUGAAUAGGUAUUGAUUAAUUGAUUAUAAUAUUGAUUUUAUGGCAUUGAUCUAUUGUUGUCUUGAAGUUUUAAUCUAAAAUUAGUGGUUGCAAAUAUUGAUUGAGAUCUCUAACACCAUUUUGGCUUGGAAAAGCAAAAUGGAGUUGGGUAAGACUCAAUAGUGUGGACUUAAUGAAAUUACUCUAUGGGUUUGAGCUAGGGAUGGGAUAAUCCGAGUGAAUUCACAUUUAAUGAUAUGAACCAAGGAUAGUCUAUCUAUUGAAGCAAUGUUUGGUAUUUUGUUUGAAAGGGUCUUGGAGUUUGGAAGAAUCCAAGGGACAUACGCUUGAUACUUCGGGGGAAUAUCAAAGUGUAGCCUAGACCAAGCACUAUCCAUGUAUCAAUCAAUGUUGCAUCAGUUAAUCUUUGUCUAUUUUAGUUAAAAUCUCGAUCUUUAUGUGCACACCCCUAGUCGUUUCCAAACUUAUUAGAUAUUAUUUGUGUUAAUUUCCCAUUUUAUUGAUUAAUAUUGAUGAAAUUGUAUUUGUUAGAUAAAACCCCUAGUUAAUUUUAUAUAUAUAUAUAUGUGUGUGUGUGUGUAUUUGUUGAGAAGUCAAUUUGUUAAUUUGUUUCAUAUAGUGAAAUCAAUAAAAGAAGAGUCUCAUUUGUCAAUCCUUGUGGUUCUACCCCGACCUCAUAAGUUGGGUAAUUAUUUUGUGUAUGACCGCCUAUGCCCUCAAAUAUGGGACAUCAUUGAGCGCUUAUCACUAUCACCCUCAAGCAUAUGAUUAAAUUGAGGUUGCCAACCACUCCUUAGAGAUUUAUUUAUGUUUCUUUUUAGGGUUACAUCCAAAACAAUGGCCAAGUUAGAUAUCUUGAAAUAAUUUUUUGUUCAAUAUCACUUAUCAUGAUUCCACAUAGAGGACCCCUUUUAGAGCUUUAUAAGGAAGACAUUCUCCUCCUUGUUGCGGUUCACUAAUAAAAGUUCCUGAGGAGUUCAACCAACAACUUAUGGCUCACAACACUAUUUUAGAUGAACUCAAAGCUAAUAUGAUCCAUCCUCAAGCUCAAAUGAAAGUUUAUGUUGAUGCUGAGCAUCGUGAAGUUGUGUUCCAGCAUGGUCAUUUGGUUUAUCUUGCGAUCAACCUUUCAAUCUUCGCUCACUAUCUAAAAAUGGUCAUCAAAAGUUAAGUCCUCGUUACUAUAGGCCACAUACUAUCUUAAAAAAAACUGGUGAAGUUACUUAUCGCCUUAAUUUACCCCCUAAUUCAUGGGUACAUCAUGUAUUUCAUGUUUCUUGGAUAAAGUGCACAAUUAAGGAUGUUACUCUAGUCGAGCAACUCCCUCAUUUCUUAUCCGAAGAACUUGAAAUGCAAGUGCAAACUGAAGGUGUAGUAUAAUGUCUUAUACUCUUGAAUGUCCCCUAAGAGGUGUUGAUUAAGUGGAAGGACUUACCAGACUUUGAGAACACUUGGGAAUCCAAUAAAGUCAUUGAUGCACAGUUUCCGCAUUUUCACCUUAAGGACAAGGUGAAACUUGUUGGGGCAGGUAUUGUUAGACAUAUUGUUACUAAGGUCUAUAACCACAGGAAGAAUGGUGACAAUAAGACUUAAAUGUAGCUGUUUUAUUUAUUAAUUACUAUGUAUAUGUAUUUUUAGUAGUUACUAAGAAGGUAACUAGCAAUUUAGGUUGCUAUUUUGUGAUAAAUUAUACUGGAAAAAAGGAAAUAAAGUUGGUUUUGGGUAGGAUUUUCUAUGGCAAAUUUGGAGGUGAAGGUUCCUCGAAAUACCUUGAUUGUCAGAAGUAUUAUGUAUUUUUUAUUUUAUAAAACAUAUUUUAAUUGUUGGUGGUAGUAAAUAAUAGUUGAAUUAUUGUUCCUAUUUUCGUGUUGUGUUUGGAAGUUUACAUAUUAAUUGUUAGGAGAGUUCUAGAUUCCUACCAAAAUGAUCUCCUCGUGUUUGUGGGAGGAGAUCUAAUACCAGUACAACUUCUCCAUGAUUUUUUUCUAUGUUUACAAUUUUUUAAAGAUUGCAAGACAAUUUGUCUAAAUGAGGUAUGCAUUUUGGAGGGCUCUCAGGCAUAAAAAUGUCAAAUAUCCACCUGAAUCUGUGAUAUAACCGUAGAGAGUUUUCAUUUAGAUACAUUUAUGUGCUAGUGUCCACAAAAAAACUCCAUAUUAUUUGAUGACAACUAUUGAUUGUUCAAAUUUUAGCAAAAAUAUCUUCAGGGACAUCCAAAAUAUUAUUCUGUGAAGGAAGAAUAUAGGUUGUCAAGAGAGUGAUUUUUGGGGUUCAAACAUAGUGGGCAGAAUUGUUUGUAAUACGGGUGACCAAAACAGUCCAAACCUAUUGUAAAAGUUGUAUAUUGUCAGGAGAAAAUGUCAUAACUAAGAAGGUAUUAGUACCUUGGGGAAAGAUGUGUACGCCAAAGACUACAUGUUUCACAACUCAACAAAUCCUAAAACAUCUUUCCCUUGUGGUUGAAAAUCCAAAGCAGUCUACUAAGAACAAAGGUUGUCGAAAUGAAAAAUGCAAGUGGAUCAUGUAUGUGUUUUGGGUAAGUAGGCUAAUGAAACAAUGAACCAUAUGUUUUUGGAGCGUACAUUUCUGAGCUCACUAUGGAAGAUACUACUUCACUUGAUAUCUAUAAAUCAACCUCUAAGUAAUACUUAGAUUGCAACGCAAUAAUGGACCAUCCAGAAGAUUAAGGAGAGAAGUCAUGAGGCUCAUGUGUUGAAAUUAGUGUACAUAAAAUCAAUACAUACAAUCCGAAAGGAGAUGAAUACAAGAGUUUUUAAGGAGAAUAAGUCCACAAUGGAGGAUCUAACACGAAGAGUUUCUUGUGUUAGAGCUAUUGUCCCAACUAGGCUAUUAUAAGAUAGAUGUAACUUUUAGUUUUCUGAGUUCAUUAAGCAAGUAAUUGUUGGUCUCUGAGAGAAGUUAUUUUAGUAGUUCUAGCUUAGUUUGUAAAUAUCCAUUUUGGUGAUUAAUAAAAUUAUUAAUUACCAAAAAAAAGAAGAGAUUUUUUACUUAUUAAGUAAUGACAUGGAUAUUGGUAGAUCAAACUAUUAGUUGCAGGUGUAUUUUGGGACCAAACAAUAAGGAUAAUUUUAGAGAUAAGUGUUAAAAACACACCUAAGCUAUCCCUUUUUUUUUAGUUUCAUACCUAAACUAUUGAGAGUUUGAGUUUCAUACCUAAACUAUCACUUAUUAGUUUAAGAAACACACUUUAGUGGCAUGUGUAAUACUUUUUCACAUGGCAUUCCACAUGAAUAAAAAUAUUUCACCUGUGACAAAAAUUAAAUAAUAAACUAUUAAUAUUAAUUAAAUUCACCCUCUCCCCCCUCCCCCCCCAAACCACCCACUCAUUCCCCAAAAAAAUUGAUAUUAUUUUAUUUUAAAAUAAAAAAAUUCUACCCCAUCCUAUUUAUCCCUCUGCUCCUAGUUUAUUUUUUUUUACGUUUUUCUUGUUUUGUGUUGGAUAUGUACUUAUAUUUUUCAUUUUUUUCAACUUGUGUAUUUAAUAUAACAUAAAUAAAAAUUUUAUUUUUAAAAAAGUCUUCCGGCGGCAAGUAAAACAUAAUUCCCUAAAAAGAUAUGUAUAUAUAUAUAUAUAUAACACAAAACGAGAAAAAAAAAUGGAAACUGAGGAUUAGGUGGAGUGGGGUAGAAUUAUUAUUAUUAUUUUAAAUAAUAAUAUCUAAAUUAUUAUUUGGAGNNNNNNNNNNNNNNNNNNNNNNNNNNNNNNNNNNNNNNNNNNNNNNNNNNNNNNNNNNNNNNNNNNNNNNNNNNNNNNNNNNNNNNNNNNNNNNNNNNNNNNNNNNNNNNNNNNNNNNNNNNNNNNNNNNNNNNNNNNNNNNNNNNNNNNNNNNNNNNNNNNNNNNNNNNNNNNNNNNNNNNNNNNNNNNNNNNNNNNNNNNNNNNNNNNNNNNNNNNNNNNNNNNNNNNNNNNNNNNNNNNNNNNNNNNNNNNNNNNNNNNNNNNNNNNNNNNNNNNNNNNNNNNNNNNNNNNNNNNNNNNNNNNNNNNNNNNNNNNNNNNNNNNNNNNNNNNNNNNNNNNGGGGGUGGGGGGGGGGGGGGGGAGAUGAAGUAAAAAAUUAUUAAAUACUUUUCUAAAAGAAAUCUAAGCAAAAUAAAGGUAAAAAAUGUGGGGGGAGGGGGUACUAUGAGAGGAAGUGAUGGAGUGGGGUAAGGAAAAUAUUUUACAUUUUAUUUUAUAAAAAAAAAUAUUUUUUAUUUUUUAUAAGAUAAUAAUUCUUUAAUCUUUAAAUUUAACUAAUACUAAUAAUUUAUUUAUUUUUUGUCUAUGUGGAGUGCAAUGUGAUAAUUUUUUUUUAAAUAAAAGAGAGAGUAUAGUACACACAACAUAAAGAAAGUGUAUUAAGAGAGAGAUGUGAGUUUCUCAAACUAAUAAACAUUAAUUUAGGUAUGAAACUUAUUAUCUCAAUAGUUUAGAUAUGAAACUAAAAAAAAAAAGAAUAGUUUAAAUGUGUUUUUGACACUUUAUCUCAUAAUUUUAUACCAAACUAUUAACCAAAUAUAUUUUUAUUCAAUUUCACAAAAUUUAAUCACAUUUUGAUUUUUCUUUUAUAAAAAAAUGCAAGACAAGGGACUAAAAUGUACUAAUUGGAGAUAAGUAAUUGUAUAUACAUUACAUACUAGUGCUUUGCGGCCCUUAUCGUCUUGUUUGUGGAGGAGGGGAGUGAGUGGGUAUGGAGCUUCAGUUUGCAGGCGCAUCGUAUUUGAUGAAAGAAGGUAUAAAACCCCGAGGUUUGAUUAUCAAAUCAUCAAGUAGUACUUCACAAGGGCUGCAGAAAUGUUCAAAGAAAAACCUUUCUCGUAUACUUAGAACAGAAGCCGCCAUUAGAGGUAUCCAGAGGAAAGCCAACUCAGAAAAAUACACUAAUCUUUGGCCCAAGGCCGUUUUGGAGGCUCUCGAUGAUGCUAUUAGGGACAAUCGCUGGGACUCUGCUCUUAAGGUUCCAUUCCUUCAUCCAUCUCGGGUUUUACAAUACGAAGAAGCUUGAAACAACAAUUUACUCCGAUUGAAUAAACUGUUUCAUAUUGUUUUUUCAUUCUUCUCAUGAAUUCUAGGACUACCGCACUAUUAUAGAGCUUAAACACUCAUUCAUUUCUCAUGAUUUAAGUUUCCUUGUGUCUCCAGUAUUUUAUAUUCUGAUUCAUGUCAGAAAAUUUCAAGUAGUGGUCUUACCCUAUUGCUCUUUUAACAACAGGAAUGCUCAACGUGACUGGGCAAUUGUCUGAUGAAGCAUUCUACUGUUUCAACAACAUGAACAUACAGAAAUUAAUAAUAUAGCAAAUAUUAUAAGAUUCAGAUACAGAUGCAGUGCAAUUUAUUCUUUCUCAAUUCAUAGUAAUACAUAACUAAUCUUGCCUGUGUAUCCCUAAUUUUCAUUCAGAUCCGAUGAUUUAGAUUGGCCAUAAAAUUCCUUCUCUGUUGCUUCCUUGUAUCAACUCGUAGGUUUCUGUCAAAAUUCGUGUUCUUAUAUCUUGGACAUAGCCUCAAUCUUCAUGGCAGUCGCAAUGCAUUCAUAUCACUGUUGUUAAUUUAUCUGCACCUGUGCAGCAAAGGCUAUAGCCUAAAAUAUUAUUGUCAGAUACAGUUUUCUUUGUUACAAAAUCAGCUAAGUUUCACUUUCAAAUAGUACAAUUGGUCAUCUUUCUUUGUGCCUUUUAGUGAAUUGAUUCCUUUUAGUUAAUUGGUAUAAAUUUUUAAGACUGUCUUGAAAAACUUCUCUUCAAGCCCCUUCAUUGCAAGCCUUUCAUUAUUCUUCUGCUUAUACUCUUAAUCACAUGCUCCACUAGAAUGGAGUGGAGGCUAGAAAAAUGGGUGAACUAUUGUGUGUUUAAGGUUUAAUAUUUUAAUUCUAAACAUGAAGUCGUAAUUAGUAUUUCUUUCCUUUGGGUUGCAUUGUUUUCAUUUAUGAAUCUUCCGUUGCAUACACGUGUUAAAGUUUAUGACCCCAAUAGUAUGGACCAAGGCUUAGUUGAUUUGACUCACCCAGAAGCUUAUGUAGUUGUUGCUGUGUUCCAAAUAAAACUGUAGAUAAAACUCGUAUUUGUUGUUUUAACAAUUUUUCUGACAGAAAUGUGUUCUUACUCCUAGAUUUUCGACCUUCUUCGCAAGCAACAUUGGUAUGAGCCAAGAUGCCAUACAUAUGCUAAGCUUUUGGUAAUGCUCGGCAAGUGCAAGCAGCCAAGUAAAGCUAACUUGCUUUUUGAGAUUAUGCUAGUGGAUGGGCUUCAACCAACAGUAGAUGUUUAUACUGCACUUGUAAAUGCAUAUGGUCUUAGUGGCCUCCUUGAUGAGGCGCUGCGAACUAUUGAUGAUAUGAAAUCAGUUAGUAAUUGCAAGCCUGAUGUGUAUACUUACUCGAUCCUAAUUAAAUGCUGCACUAAAGUUCGUCGUUUUGAUAUGAUUGAAUACAUUUUGGCUGAGAUGGUGUAUUUGGGAAUUGAAUGUAGUUCCGUGACAUACAAUACCAUAAUUGAUGGCUAUGGUAAAGCUAAGCUGUUUGAGCAGAUGGAAAGCUCCUUGACCGAUAUGAUAGAAAAUGAGACUGCCUUUCCAGAUGUUUUCACCUUGAAUUCAGUAAUUGGGUCCUAUGGCAGCUGUGGGAAGCUUGAGAAAAUGGAGAAGUGGUUUGAAGAAUUUCAGGUAAUGGGAAUAAAGCCAGAUGUUAUGACAUUUAACAUUCUUAUCAAGUCAUAUGGAAGAGCUGGCAUGUACCAGAAAAUGGAGUCUGUACUUGAUUUUAUUAGGAAUCGGUUCUAUUCUCCAACAGUUGUGACUUACAAUAUCAUCAUUGAGACAUUGGGGAAAGCUUGCCUCAUUAAGAACAUGGAACAGUUUUUCCUACAGAUGAAGCAUGAAGGGGUGAAGCCAAGUUCAUUCACUUAUUGCUCUCUUGUAAGUGCUUAUAGUAGAGCUGGACUUAUGGAAAAUGUUGAUUCAAUCAUGAGGCAAGUUGAGAAUUCAGAUGUAGUUCUAGAUACUCCUUUUUUCAAUUGCAUCAUCAGUGCUUAUGGUCAAGCUGGUGAUAUAGAGAGGAUGGUGGCAUUAUUCUUGGAAAUGAAGGUCAGAAAAUGUAAACCAGACUACAUCACAUUUUCUACCAUGAUUCAGGCGUACAAUUCACAAGGGAUGACUGAAGCUGCAAUGGACUUGAAGACAAAAAUAAUUACUUCUUGUGGUACUUGUACUAUUUAGCCUCUGUUUCUCCUGUCCAUAUCAUUUUUGCUUCAUAAAGUAUGAAUCCUCUCAGAAAUACAACUUUAACUUUAUCAAAAAAAAAAGUAUGAAUCCUCUCAGACUCACAGUUAGUAACAUAAAUCCAGCUAUUUAGGUUAGCUCUAUCAUAUUUCUAGCUAAGUGCAGUUGAUAAUAAAAGGAAGUGUUAUUCUCUAAUAAAUCAGCUUUUAUUUUUUGCUGUCAUGUGUACUAAGUUACUCCCUCUGUCCCAAUUUAUGUGACUUACUUUCCUUUUUAGUCAGUCCCAAAAAGAAUGACACAUUUCUAUAUAAAGUAACAAUUUAACUAUAAAAUGUCAAUUUUACCCUUAAUGAAAAUGAUUUACAGCCACACAAAUUUCUAUAAUUCAUUUUGGACUACAAGUUUUAAAAGUCUUCCUUUCUUUCUUAAACUCCGUACCGAGUCAAACUACCUCACAUAAAAUGGGACGGAGGGAGUAUCAUUCAAUGAACUGCUUGAUAUCUGACACUUUGUUGUUACAUUUUAUUAGAAUCAAACGAAUUGAUCAGCAGCUAGUACAAUCUAUCUGCUACCGAAGGAAACCAUUCACUUGGAACUCUGUUCAUCAAUCUCAAUGUUGUGAAAGUGGGCAGAGUGUUAUCUGCAUGUGAGUUUGUAAGUGUGAAUGUCUAUUUUCUCUUGUUCACUGCCUUUGAGAAUCCAUCUUUACUCAUUAAAUGGCCUAAAACUGAAAGGCUUUCAAGCAGUCAAAGUGGUGAGCCAAAGUUGAAGGGCUUUUAUGAACUCAAACAUCUUGCUUUUGGUUUGUAAGACUGAAGAGUUAAACUUAUUUCAAAAUGCAAAUUAAGUUCCUCUCUUUUUGUUUUUUGGAUGUGAAAUAUUGUUGCUCUUGCUAAUUCUCUCUCUAUAUAUAUACAUAUCUAUUUAGUUACUUAAUGAGAAAUGUCAUAUAUAUUUGAGUUUGGGUACUUCAUCGUAACAAUGAUAUCUGUUUGUGUAGAAGGAUGCUAUAGCAAUCCGUUAAUCAGAUGGGAUGGAUCCAAGGAAAAGAACAUAGUGAGUCUAUUUGCGGCAAUGUGAUUUCUCUUACAUGUUUCUGUGAACUUUCGACGGCCUUAACCCACAACUAGAGAGAUUUGCAGUUUCCAAAAGCUCUUGUUAGGGAAUAGUUUGGUUUAACUUCUCUGAGUAGCUUUACAGUUUGUUUGCCUAUGUAUGUUAUUUCUUGACUCGUUUUUUCUUGUAUUAGCAUAUUUAUAUACAGGUAAGAGAGGGAGGGAGCAGUUAAAGUUCUUCUGUUUACUAUGUUCACGAAACAGCCAAACCGUGCUGUGAUGUCUGUAGUGCAACCUGUGGGUUCAUCUUCAGUUGAAAACCUCAGUGAUGCUUGGGUGAAUGAAGAUUCUAACAGUAGUGGGUGAUUAUGAUGGAUAAUUAACUCCUCGGUAACAUUGAGGAUCUACACUAUUUCAGCUGUCACUGUGGGGUUGUCUAUUGCAGUACUAAUAGUCAUGCAGCAAGGCCUUUUUUUUUUUUUAACUAACCAGAGCUGAGUCACAACCAUACAUAUGGGUUUUGAACAGGUCAGUGAUGUAACAGGACUGACUUCUUUCGAAAGAGCAAAGCCAUGGGACAGAUGGAGCAUUAUUAAGACACUUGCUGAUUCUUCCUUCUAAAUCGGGUUGUUUUACCUCUUACUGGUUGCAAGUUUUUAGUAAACAGAUAUAUAGAGCAAUGUAGUGUAAGAUAGUUAUACCAUUUUCCAGCCCCUCGCCAUUUCACAUGUUACUGUGGAAAUGAAUUACAAUAUUAUGUUUGAUAUACUACUUGAGCAGCAGGUGAACAUUACUUAUUUACUUUGCUUUCUUAAAAGUGGAUUAAAAUGUCCAGACACCGUUUGACUUUCUGUAGAGCUGCAAGCACCGAACGACCUGUAGAUGGACCUUAUUGCAACACAUACGUACAACCACUCCAAUUUGUAUAGAGUUCUUCUCCUAAAAGCUUUCAACAGUGUCCUUCAAACUGAUCUCUAGAAGAGUGAAAUUUAUGCCUAAGCUUUUUUCCCCUUCCUAAGACCGGGAAGGUGGCACCAUAGGCAGCUCCUCCUUAUACCUACAUCCCACAUUCAAGAAUUUGAGAUGCCAAAAUUCUCAAGAUAGUAGAUAACCUGAACGAGUUAAUUAAGCUAUAAUGAAUGGAAAUGCAGAGUCAAUUUCUUAUGUAAUUUGAAGACUUCAAUUUCUAUGUUAUCAAUAUCUUUCAUGUUUAUUUACUUUAGAUUCACCAAAUUACACAUUUGUUACUUCUUGUUGUGAGGCUAUAUUUGAAUUGUAUGUAGAGUUAGUGAGUUAUAAGAAAAAAAAAUUGUUUUAUGCACACCAAGAUAAAAAUUGUUAUAGUAUAGUGGAUAUUACAUGUUAAAUAACUCUUAACAUAUCAACAACUUACUUUCCAGGGAUGCUGAGUUUGUUUUUCUUUCACAAAUUGGGUCUUGUGCUUUUUCUAUAGGGAGAUUUUCAUAUAUGGCAAAGAGAAAAAACAUAAUUGGCCUAUAUAGCUAUGGUAUACCUAAUUACGCUCCAUAACUAUUGUUUCAUUUGCUAUGGUGACUAAUGUUUGUAUAUCUCGAACUUUUUAUUAAAAAUUAUACAAAUUCCUUUUUAAAAUAGAUAAUAAAAAAGCGGCAAUUUUGGUUACAAAAAAUUGAAAACAAUCCCAUAAAGUAAGGUAAUUUAUAAUUGUAUUUGAUUAUAGUUUAUUGUCUAAAAUGACUUCUUCGACACGAAGAACACCAUAGUUGUAUAUGUAAUUGAAAACUGUUUUUCAUUCAUAUAUAGAUUAAUUAAAUGUAUUUGUAUACAAAUAUGUAUUAUUAUUGAGUGGAUGAAUAGUAUAUGUAUCUGAUAUAUGUAUAUGUAAAUAAAUCAUUAUUUGUAUAACACUGUACGUGUGGGGCAUUCUUGAAAUGCUUCUUUGAGUAGAAACCUAACAUCCUAAAAUAUUAUGUCCAAAAAUAAGUUCGUAUAAACAUAUUAUAUACAAUUAUUUGUAUAUGUAUAUAAAUCAUUAAAAUGGAUAAAUAAACAGUUGUAUAUAAAUGUUGAAAAUUAUACAUUGGAUUCGUAUAAGGUAUUGUGGGUGAUAAUAUACAUGAAAAUGAAAUAUUUAAAACAAAAAAGAAUAUAGAACCAAUUGUCACGACCCAGACCGUCGUGAUUGGCACCCACACUAAACCUCCGAUGGGAGAACCAUUACUACAACCCAAACAAACAAAUUUUAUGAAAAUUAAGGCAUUUAAAGAUACAGAAGCAGGUUUAAAUGACUAUAAAAAUACGGAGUUCCCAGAAACUCCAAAGGUUUAAACAAUUAACUAACCAAACUAAUGCGGAGGAACAACCCCUAGAACCUGAAAGUCAAUGUACCAAAACUAUACUAACAACAAGUCUAAGAACAGGGGUACAACCCCGAAACUAAACAACACCUUAAACAAAUGGUCUGAGUCCGAAAAGAGUAGACUUAAACAAGAAGAUCCAUGGCAGCCCAAAAGAACUGGCUCACCCUUGAAUCCUGUCAUGCUCAAUAGUCACCUAGCUAAGGUCUAUCAAUAGCCACCUAAAGAUGCCCUGUACUCAACAAAGAUAAGAGCAAGUGCAGUAUCAGUACACAACCACAGUGUACUGUUAGGAUCACGCGGCUAUCUCAAUAAGUGAAACACAUGCAAGUACCCACAACAUUAUAAACAAGCAUAUACUGAACAUAUAUAAUAUUUGUCAUCUUUUCAGGAUCAAUGUAGCACCCCCACAUUCUCAAUAAUACACAUUGGUCAUCAAUUUAGAGCAACAUACGGUCUUCCAAUAUCAAUCAUCAUUAGAUAUGAACGUAAUCAUCACAAGUAGAUAUACAACACAAUUCAAUAGUCCUCUCACGAAAUCCAAUUCAACGGUCCUCUCAUGGAACCCACACCCAAAUUGUUAGCAUACCGGAACGUGGUACCUGAUCCAAUGUUUAUGCCGGAACGUGGAAACUAAUCCUAUAUUUAUGCCGGAAAGUGGCAACCGAUCCCAUAUUAUGUCGGAACGUGGCAACCGAUCCCAGUUAAUGUGUCGGAUCGUGACACCCGCCCAUUCAACAAACCACGAUCACAAUCACAAUGUAUAUUCUCACAAUCAUAAAACAAGAGAUGAUUCAUGACAUACAAUUAUUCAAUUAUCCUCAUUUACGAUUAGGGUGAUCAAUAAUGCAACAUUCGCAUACAUACAUGCAUUAUAAUGGAGCAAUUACAAACAUAUAUCACACCAACAUGAAAUCACAACCAUCACCUACCUCGAAUCCAAGCUUGAAUUCCCUAAGGUACUUGAAUCUUCCCUUUCCAGAUUCUUCCCGCUUGUUCGUGGUCUAAAAACAAGCAAUUUAUAUGCAAGGAUCAACAAUCAAAGGUCUAAUUAUCCGAAUUAUAACAAACUCAAUAACCCUAGACCAGAUUCUUCCCGCUUGUUCAUGGUCUAAAAACAACAAUUUAUAUGCAAGGAUCAACAAUCAAAGGUCUAAUUAUCCGAAUUAUAACAAACUCAAUAACCCUAGACCAAAUCCUUGAUCCUAUACCCAUAUUAGGGCUUUUUCCACAAUAAAUUCAAGAUCAAAACCCUCCCCCAUCCAUAAUUACCCAUGAAACUGAGUUCUACAGAUCGAAAAAUAAUUUCGGGGAGUGAAAACAUUACCUUAGCCUCAAGAAUGGUGAAAAAUUGUCAAGAACUCAUCUGGGGUUGUUCCUUAGCUCUAAAAAUCGAAAAGUGCAGAAUAAAGUCAUUUUGGGGUUUGUUUACAACUUUAAGUCGCGUCUGGCCCGCCACAACAACCCUCACCCCGCUACAGCGGUACCGCCAGAGCGACCAAAACCUCCGCCAAAGCGGCUUGCACGAAACAGUGAGCUAUUUUAAUAAUUCCAAGACCCUCAUUUCACAACACACCUUUAACCAACGACGCUCAGAAAAUACCGUUCACGCUAAAAUCAAUUCCGGGAGUUCUACUUACCCGAAUUCCAUUUCGUAAAGUCGUACGGAUUCCUUAACGACUUAUCUAACUACUAAUGUAAUCAAAAUCAUAAAUAAAUCACCUGAUUGUUACCAGAUUUCCCUACACCUUAAUGACUCUAAUUUCGUCCAAAUCUGGACUAGGUUGGGAAAUUCCAAGUUACUACGAAAAAGUUUUCUUGCCCCAAUUCUUUCCCCAUUGGCUUUUCUAUAAUAACGGGAACAUGUCGUUACAAUAGAUACCAAUUUACCCAUCACCUGUCCCUGAGUGACAAACUAGGAGAAAAAGGGAUAAAGCAAGAAUAGAGUAGUAUCUCAAUCGUCGAAUAACUAGGGAUACUUGUCCCACAUACUUUUUAUGUUUAUUGUGGGCUGCUAGAAGCUUAGAUUGGAUACUUUUCACCUUACCCUGAACAUCUUUCACCAAAUCAACUCUCAAAGGUUUUGCAUCUUCAACCUCAAACCAACCAAUUGAACACCUACACAUCCUCCCAUACAAUGCCUCAAUGAAGUCAUCACAAUAAUCGAGUGAUAAUUAUUGUUGUAUGUACACUUAACUAACAACAAAGUUAUUCCCAACAACCACCAAAGUUGAUCGUACACAUGUCUGCAACAUGUUAUCAUGGACUUUGACACAAACAACAGGACGAGUCCUUUCUCACAUAACCAUGAUAAAAUCCUAAAUCAAAACUCGUCACAAUUAGAGGUGAACCUGAACCAACCAACACACAAUCAUAAUACCCAAACAAUCAUAGUUCUUAUCAACAUCUCCAUCUCACAACCCAAUUUCCCAUGAGUUUAAGCUAUAAAAAUUUUGGUCCUUAGAAAUCAGAUACUCAUCGAGGGAUAUGUCCAAGCAUACAAACCCUUCAACAACACUAUCAAAAAUGCUAGAUUUAGAAAUUGUAGAUCACCUCUUAAGAACAGUAGAAUUGGACCCAAUGAUCCCCACAUUCAAUCACACACAAUCAAUACAUGACCUCAACGACUAGAUGAAUAUUUAGAUUAUCGAACAAUCAUAAAUACACAUGGUAGCUCUUCUAUAAACUCUCAUAAGUAAGGUGGUACAUGUAAAACCACUGAAAUACUUUACAACUCCAAGACAACACCACAUAAGUCAUCUGAAAUAACCACGUCUUCCCAACUAAUCCCACUCAACCAAGAGAACAUCGCAGGAUCGGUACAUAUGAUCCACCACUAGAGAUCCACCCACAAAAUGAAAACACACGUAAGCAUAGCUAGUGUGUCACACUCACAAUCAUGUACAAAAUGAAAUAGAUGGUCACAUAAGAAUUUAUCAAAUAACACGAAAGGUUUUCCUCUGAAGAGUCGAUACCAGACAUUUCCAUUCACUUGACUCCACAUACUCUUCACAUCAUUCCACUGAAGUCCACACUCUCAAUACUAACAACCAUCAUGAACACUCCGACCAUUUACCUUACUCUAAACCAACACUUUUAAAAUGAAAACCUUCCUUAGAUACUUUAACAAUCAAAAGUAAUAAACUUUACGACUCAAACCAAGUGUAAGUCUUUUCAAAUGCUCAAUACCUGAUACAAGUGAUCAUUCCUCACCUUGCAAAUUUAUACCUUGACAAAAUAUAUCACCACAAAUGUAGACUUACAAUGAAAAAUCUGAAUUGUAAUUUCCACCGUAUAACACAAUCCCUUUCUCUAUCAACAUUAUCUUGUACCUUGAAGAUUCUUAUGAAUUCAUAGAUCUUCGCUUAUCAUUGAUCGCAUCUCCAUCGAUCUUACAAUAUCCUUCACUAAGAUUCAAUUGUACUCAUUACUAAACUCAAAACAAAAAGAAAGCACUUAUCAUCACGCUCAAGCUAAUGUCUGCACAAUCAUUUCUCAAGUCCUUUGCAAUAGCUUUUAACCAAAUUUGACGGACUUCUGACUCUAUUACCAUAGCCACAACAAAAUGAAUGAAAUCACGCGUCUCUGAACCCAAUUAUCUACCCCUCUGAAGAUAUCUCUUUAGCCUUUGCAAUCAAAUAAAAUAUUCUUGCUCUCGCCUCUCUCUAAAGGUUGUACUACAUCCCACUAUUUUUCUUCAUUAUGACUCUAGCUCUUUAAUUUCUAUUUGAAUGGUGUCCCACCAUCUCUUAAAACUUUCCAUACAACCACGUUACUCACCAAAUAUUAAAAACCACAACCUUAGAUACUCGCAAGUUGUAAUUACGGUGCAAAAUUUGCUCUAACCACAAUCGUAUUAUAUAGUUGCAUCCCAGCACAAACUCUUAUUAGCAUUAUGCUUAGUCAGCUCUGACUAUCACUACAAAGUUGACCUUACAUCAACACGACACCUCAAACUCAGGUAUACUCAUCAAUUCAAAGGACUAACCCAAUUUUGAUACUCACUUUCCUACUAAAAUCUUAGAUUUUCUUUAUCCAAGUAUAUUCAAUGGGACUUUCUUUAUUCAUAAGCUUGUCAUUUCGGUAUUAAUCAACUCCCUUAUGGAUUAAGAUAAAAUCAUUAGUCCUCAUACUACCCUCCUUCUUCUUAAUAAACAAGACAGGAGCACCCCACGGGGAAGCACUAGGACGGAGGAAACCUUUAUCAAGAAGCCCUUGGAUUUGAGCUUUAAGCUCUCUCAAUUCUGACACCACAGGAAUAGACUCAAUAGAGGGAAACUCGACCUCAACAUCCCAAAUAUGAGCCAAAUAAGCCAAACAACCCUGCCCUACCAGUUUCCUAGCCCAAAUGGAGGAUAUGAUAUUAGCUAGCUUAGGCUUGUACACCCCUUCCCACUCUAAUCCUUCCCGUACCGAGGAUCUCUAGAGUUACCGACUUAGUAUUACAAUUAAGCUCGGUAUAAUAGGGGGACAACCAAGUCAUGCCUAAGAUUAUAUCAAGUCAGUCAUAUCCAGCAUAACCAAAUCAACCCAAAUCUGAAAAUCCGAAAACACAAUAGGACAACACGAUAUACAUGGGUGACUAUGACUGACUCUUCAACUAGGGUCGAAACAUGGAUGGGGGCAUCAAGUAUAUCACAAAUCAUAUCAAAUUUUGAGGCAAAUCGCACAGACACAUAAAAUAAGUAGAAUUUGGAUCAAACAACACAUUUGCCAUCCAAUCACAAACAAUAAUAGUACUUGUGAUCACUACAUCACACCUCAAACUCGAUUUUGCCCAGAAAAGCAUAUAACUGAACCCUGUCAUCUUGACGGGCAACCUCCCGCCUGGCUGCACUACUCCUCUAACUGCAUUACCAUUUCCCCGGCCUCCACGAUCUUGUUGAUUUCCUCCUCGUAUGCCUAGGUUCUCCAUAAUUUUAACACACUUUUUAACUUAUAUUUGAUUGUUGAACACUGAAUUAGAUUGCGGGGGUGAGUUCGGGUAUGAUUCGGGGUCCAUGAUUGUGACUAGAGGAAAACAGGGGAGACAUGGCUGAGAUUCUGUCUCGCCCUGUCCCGCACUAGCGGCCUCGCCUUGGCGGGAAAAGUUUCGCCCCAGCGGCCAAAAUGGAAACAGAACCCAGGCCAACUAAUUUUUUAGGGUUUCUUUUUCUCAUUUCUAAUUUUCCCAAAGGUUCCCAGCUCUGCCAAACGAAUUUAGGAUAAUUAUAUGAGCUAAGAGAAAUCAUGUCUAUCCCAAGUAAAUCCCACGAGACACUAACCAACUCGUUCUCAUUAAUUUAGCACCACGUGCAAGAUACACCCAGACAUUCACACGAUCAUUACACAAGCGUAAGACAAGUCCAAAUUCUUUAAUUAGGUUAUUCCAUAGAUGACUAUUACUGAUCAUCUACACCUUGUACGAUCCCUAAGGCCAGAUACCAAUUGAAACAUUUUCAGUUUCAAUUAACUUGCUUGUGUCCCUUUAGCCGGGACUACGACGUCUAGUUCACUUCGUUAAGAUAACAAUUGAAAUUGGGAGAUACCAAUUGGACUCAACUCAUACCACAAGUGAAAAUAGUAGCUAGCGAGCCCUACAAAACUGCUAAUUUCAAUCAUAGAACUUGGUCGAAACAAAUUCUUAACCGCCUCAACCUUUAAUUGAUAGUAACCAGACCUUAAAUCAAUCUUAUAGAAAAUCGAUGCACCUUACAAUUGGUCAAAAAGGUCAUCUAUCCGAGGCAAUGUAUACUUGUUACUGAAUGGUGACCCUAAUUCAACUGUCGGUAGUCUAUACACAUCCUCUCUUGCUAGUGAUGGUGUUACCGCUGUUGUUGCUCUAGCUCAGACCAUAGAGUGAAGGAGGAAAGAUACCAAUUUGUAUCACCCAGAUACCAAUUGGAUUCAAGUCAUAGCACGAAGGAGUAGAAAGAAGUGAGUUUUUCCUAAAGUUCUAUAGCCUCUCAAAGAAAAGUACGGACGUCAUCGUACCAUUCCGCAAGACUCUACUAGACUCGUUUUGGUACAACGAGAUCAAUGAACCUAGGGCUCUGAUACCAACUUUGUCACGACCCAGACCGUCGUGAUUGACACCCACACUAAACCUCCGGUGGAAGAACCAUUACUACAACCCAAGCUACCAAAUUUUAUGAAAACUAAGACAUUUAAAGAUACGGAAGCAGGUUUAAAUGACUAUAAAAAUACGGAGUUCCCAUAAAUUCCAAAGGUUUAAAAAAUUAACUAACCAAACUAAUGCGGAAGAACAACACCUAGAAUCUGAAAGUCAAUGUACCAAAACUCUACUAACGACAAGUCUAAGAACAGGGGUACAACCCCGAAACUAAACAACACCUUAAACAAAUGGUCUGAGUUCGAAAAGAGUGGACUUAAACAAGAAGAUCCAUGGCAGCCCGAAAGAAUUGGCUCACCCUUGAAUCUGAUCACGCUCAAUAGUCACCUAGUUGAGGUCUAUCAAUAGCCACCUAAAGAUACCGUGUACUCAACAAAGAUAAGAGAAAGUGCAGUAUCAGUACACAACCACAGUGCAUGGGUAGGAUCACGCGGCUAUCCCAAUAAGUGAAACACAUGCAAGUACCCACAACAUUAUAAACAAGCAUAUACCGAACAUAUACAAUAUUAGUCAUCAUUUCAGGAUCAAUGUAGCACCCCACAUUAUCAAUAAUACACAUUGGUCAUCAAUUUAGAGCAACAUACAAUCUUCUAAUAUCAAUCAUUAUUAGAUAUGAACGUAAUCAUCACAAGUAGAUACACAACACAAUUCAAUGGUCCUCUCAUGGAACCCACACCCAAACUGUUAGCAUAUCGGAACGUGGUACCCGAUCCAAUGUUUAUGGCGGAACGUGGCAACCGAUCCCAUAAUUAUGCUGGAACGUGGCAACCGAUCCCAUAUUUAUGUCGAAACGUGGCAACCUAUCCCAGUUAGUGUGUCGGAUUAUGACACCCACCCAUUCAAUAAACCACAAUCACAAUCACAAUGUAUAUUCUCACAAUCAUAUAACAAGAGGUGAUUCAUGGCAUACAUAAAUACAUGCAUUAUAAUGAAGCAAUUAUCACACCAACAUGAAAUCCCAACUAUCACCUACCUCGAAUCCAAGCUUGAAUCCCCUAAGGCACCUGAAUCUUCCCUUUUCGGAUUCUUCCCGCUUGUUCAUGGUCUAAUAACAACAAUUUAUACGCAAGGAUCAACAAUCAAAGGUCUAAUUAUCUGGAUUAUAACAAACUCAAUAACCCUAGACCAAACCCUUUAUCCCCAUAUCCAGAUUAGGGCUUUUUCCACCAUAAAUUCUAUAUCAAAACCCUCCCCCAUCGAUAAUUACCCAAGAAACUGAGUUCUACGGAUCGAAAAAUAGAUUCAGGGAGUGAAAACCUUACCUUAGCCUCAAGAAUGGUGAAAAACGGUCAAGAACUCGUAUGUGGUCGUUCCUUAGAUGUAAAAAUCAAAAAGUGUAGAAUAAAGUUAUUUUGGGGUUUAUUUACGACUUUAAGUCGCGUCUGGCCCGCCACAGCGGCCCUCACCCCGCUAUAGCGGCACAGCCAGAGCGACCAAAACCUCCGCCAAAGUGGCUUGCACGAAACAGUGAGCUAUUUUAAUAAAUCCAAGACCCCCCAUUUCACCACACACCUUUAACCAACGACACUAUGAAAAUACCGUUCACGCUAAGAUCGAUUACGGGAGUUCUACUUACCUGAAUUCCAUUCUGUAAAGUCGUACGAAUUUUUAACGAAUUAUCUAACUACUAAUGUAAUCAAAAUUAUAAAUAAAUCACAUGAUUGUUACCAGAUUUCCCUACACCUUAAUGACUCCGAUUUCAUCCAAAUCUAGACUAGGUUGGGAAAUUCCAAGUUACUACGAAAAAGUUUUCUGGCCCCAAUUCUUUCCCCAUUGGCUUUUCUAUAACGACGGGAACAUGUCGUUACACAAAUUAACAAUAUUGAAAUUUUGUAUAUACACUAAUGUUGACACCCAAUUUUGGACCUCCACAAUAUAUAUUAAUCACCGAGCUUCUCAAAUUCCAAACGAUUUGAAAUAAUUAGUUUUUAUAAAGUUCAAAAUAUUUUUCAAGUUACUUUUAAUUAAUUUUAUCCUUUUUUAUAAAUUUCAAAUAAUAAGCAUGUUUUUAUAUAUAAUUAUGUAUAUAAUUAGUAUAUUUUUGAAUAUUCGAAAAUCAUCUCAGAAGAUUUUUCAUUUUAGUUGAAUAUCUUAUUAAUUUAGUUUAACUUAAAUUAUGGUUAUAAUUUUAAAAUUAACUAUUUUAUAAUCAAAUUAAUUAUUUUAUUUUGUUAAAAUUAAGAAGCUCGUUAGUUAAUUAUACUAAUUCGUCUUAUUUAAUUUUUAGCCGAUUUCACCAAUUAAUUCAAAUUGGCUAAGUUUGCAAUCUAAUUGGUCAUUUGCCUAAUUCAAAUUCAAUCAUCUCUUUGUCCCACUUCUUGGACCCUUUUUAAACCAAGUUUUAGGCCUUACUUCCAAUUUCAACAGCCCAUUCCCAACCAAUUCCAAUUCACCAGUCCACUCUCUUUAUUCCCCGACCCAGGCCCAAUUGUUACAACAAUACUCGGCCCAAUCCCCUUAUCAACAAGAAAACCCAGAAACAGCGUCAAAACAAACAUUAACAACAACAACAAUUCCAAGCGGCGUGAGCGACGUCUAAGCAAUCCCAAUCCACGCGACGUCUCGAUUCCAACAUCAUCAAAACAACAGUGCAAUACACGUCAAAGAAGACGGAAAGAAACGAUGAGGAACGCGUGCCCAGUACGACUGUUGUCGUCUUCCUCCAAUUCGUACGAGUCUUCCAGAAAAAGCAGCUCGUCCUUAUAUGUGAGCAGGCCAGGUGGAGAGAUCUCCUCGCCCUUUCGUCCUUGCCCCUUGAAUCGGACGAAUUUCGUUCAAAAUCCGUUGAAGAAUAGUACAAAUUCCAGCUCCCCAACCUUAUCCUUGGAGAGCAAUUCGAAUUUCAAAUUCAAAAUCCCUCCCGAUUUCCCCUCUAAAUUCGACCUAGUUAUUUCCUUAUAAAUACUCUCUUGUUCUUCAUUGUUAAGUUGGGGAAAAAAGUUGGAAAAAUUGUUGGCAAGAAACAAAGGGGAAAAUAUAGGAAAAUAUAGAUUAGAGACAGGAGAGAAUCAGUUAUUAUUAGAAACAAAAAGGAAAAAGUAGACACAGUAAAGUUGAUGGCUAUAUAGUUAUUUACAAGUAUUUAGGAAUAGGGCUCGAAAUCAUAGAGGUUGAGAAUUCAGUCUUAGCUUAGUCUUUGUUGUUGUUCGCCUCGACUUUGUUCGUCGAAACUGGCAUCGUGGUGGUGGAAGUCAGCUCAACUCAUGGUCUCAGUCGCUACCCCUAAAAAGGUAAACUUUCAUCUUCUCCAAAGCUUUUGUUGCCUUUUAUGAGUCGAUUUAGACGUUAAGCUUGGUGGAAUUUUCGGUUCAUUCAUUUUGUUAUUCUCUCUGUUUGUUUACUUCUUUUGUUACAUUAAGUUGUUAAUAGUAUGCUGUUUCUCUAUCGUUAAUGUUUGAAUUUCAGGCCAUGGAUGAUGUCUCUCUGUUCGUUUAUCUUGCUAUUUUCGGAUGCGGUUACUUCUUUAUGUUGUUUCCAAAUUCUAGUGCUAUAACUAGUCUCAAAAAAUGUUCACUUGUCUUAAUUCAUCUCUAUCUGUUGUGAAUCUAUAUUAAUAGUCGAUGUUUGACAUGGUAUCACUUUCUCUUUGAUUUGAGUUAAAUGUAUAAAUUAGCAUAAAUAGUCGUUUGAGCUUACUUUUGUGUUUCCAUUAUUCCUCAUUUUAAAUGUGUUUACUGAACAAGCAUGAGCCUACUAAUUAUCAGGAGAUUUGUUCUUUUCAGUCUUCAAAAUGGAUUGUUAUCUGUUAGCUCUGUCUCAUUAUUGUGCCUGUUUGAUGUUAAGUUGGGGUUCUGUAGCGAAAGCAAUAAGUCAAAAAUGAUUUGGCUUAGUUUGUUAUAUUUGGAGUUCAAAUGGUCAUGCACUGCCUCUUCCUGAUUUAGUCCCAUAAAAUUCGAUUUCUUGUUAAGUCACCAGGGUAUAACUCAUGCUUAGAUAGUCGGAUUCAGAACAAUAGAUUGUUCCAUGAUUGUUUUUGUUGUUACUGCUAAAGGGUGUUUACUUUCACUAUUUAUCUCCUCUUUCAAGUUUGUUGGGUUUAGUUACAUAGUCUCAAAGGUCAGCUUGUGAUCCUCCUCUCCCUAGUCUGUCGAGCAUGCCUUAAUCUGUCUAGAUGUUUGCCAGAGUCGUUCAUUUAUGCCUAAAUCAGCAGGUUGCCUUCUUAGUUCAAAUACAUGCUUGUGUGUAGAUAAUGUGGUAGGGCGUAAUAUGAUAUCUUAUUAUAUUUUGUUACUGCCUCUUCAUUGAUUGCCAGAAAUGCAAGUGUUUGGCUCUUUAAAAUUAAUUAGUUCAAAAUUGUUGUAGCGACCCUAAAAAAAUUGAUAGGUGAAACUAGAGCCUAACGUAUGAAUCUUAAAAGUUUAAGCAUAAAUUGGAGUUAUGAAAUUUUCAAAUUUUUUUUGACUAACUAUAAGUUCAAGAGAGGGUUCAAGGAAGGCAAAAGGCAUCACUGCCCUUCGAAGCUCCCUUGAACUUCGCCUUAGCCGGAUGGUAGACCAUUCCAAUGCCCUUAGAAGCUCCCUUGGUAAUUGCCUUAGUUUUAUUUGGGCAAUCCAAGGGAGGCAUAAAAGGGGGUAAUUUCGUAAUUUCCUUACUUCAAGGACCUUAAAUGCUCCCUUGGACUUUGCCUUCGUUUUAUUUGGUAAGUCCAUGUGGGCAAGGGGAAUUUUCAUAAAUAUUAUUUUUAAGUGUUUUUAAGUAUUUUAAGAGUAUUAAAACAUUAAUAUGGUAUUUUAGAAUUCAAAACUCUUCUCUCCUAAAAGGUUCUCUCUAGAACUCCAUUGAAGGGCUAGGUCAAGCUCAAGCUAGGGUUGAAGGUUUCAAGUGUUUUCUUCUCAAAAAUUCGUGGGAUUCAUGAAGGGUAAGGUAUGGGGAUCCUUUAUCCUUGAUUAUUCUUCCUUUCAAGGAGCUCAAUCCAAAUGAUUUCAAAGUUCUUCCAAAAACACAAAAAAAAAUAAUUUCGAUUCUAAACAUGGGUUCUUGCAUUAACUGAUUUUUAAUGAUGAUUUAUGCUAUUAUUGAUGUUUAUUGAUGGUUUUAAGGAAGAAAAUUCCACGAACCCAUGUCUUUCCAAGUUUCCUAAAUUUCACCAUAAAGUGGGUAUAUUGAUUUUGAUUCGAUGAUAAUAAAAUUAUGUUUAGAUUGUUGUGGGCUGUUGAUUUAUGCCAUUAACUAUAUCUAAUUGUGUGGAAUUGUUAGUGAAUUGAGUAAUUGGGUUCAUAGCCUUGAAUGGGCAUUUUGUGAAUUAAUCUUCAUGAUGAUUAUUGAAUUGUUUUAUUGGUUUCUAUUGUUAUAUACACCUAUCUUAUGGUGAAUUGUGGUAGAAUUUAGUAAAGGUGAUUAUGGCUUUGGAGAAUGGUAAGUUGACCUAACUUCAUUGUUAAUGUAAAGUUGAUUUAGGAUUGUGAUAGAUUGAUGUGUGAUCCACUUAUGGUGGAGGUGCUUAUAUGUUGAAUGUAUUGUGAUUAUGGCCUUGAAGGCAUUGUAUGAGGAAGUUGAAGUGUUGACAUGAUAUCAUAUAUGUGAAUGUGAUGUGAAGGACUUGAAUGAGAAUCNNNNNNNNNNNNNNNNNNNNNNNNNNNNNNNNNNNNNNNNNNNNNNNNNNNNNNNNNNNNNNNNNNNNNNNNNNNNNNNNNNNNNNNNNNNNNNNNNNNNNNNNNNNNNNNNNNNNNNNNNNNNNNNNNNNNNNNNNNNNNNNNNNNNNNNNNNNNNNNNNNNNNNNNNNNNNNNNNNNNNNNNNNNNNNNNNNNNNNNNNNNNNNNNNNNNNNNNNNNNNNNNNNNNNNNNNNNNNNNNNNNNNNNNNNNNNNNNNNNNNNNNNNNNNNNNNNNNNNNNNNNNNNNNNNNNNNNNNNNNNNNNNNNNNNNNNNNNNNNNNNNNNNNNNNNNNNNNNNNNNNNNNNNNNNNNNNNNNNNNNNNNNNNNNNNNNNNNNNNNNNNNNNNNNNNNNNNNNNNNNNNNNNNNNNNNNNNNNNNNNNNNNNNNNNNNNNNNNNNNNNNNNNNNNNNNNNNNNNNNNNNNNNNNNNNNNNNNNNNNNNNNNNNNNNNNNNNNNNNNNNNNNNNNNNNNNNNNNNNNNNNNNNNNNNNNNNNNNNNNNNNNNNNNNNNNNNNNNNNNNNNNNNNNNNNNNNNNNNNNNNNNNNNNNNNNNNNNNNNNNNNNNNNNNNNNNNNNNNNNNNNNNNNNNNNNNNNNNNNNNNNNNNNNNNNNNNNNNNNNNNNNNNNNNNNNNNNNNNNNNNNNNNNNNNNNNNNNNNNNNNNNNNNNNNNNNNNNNNNNNNNNNNNNNNNNNNNNNNNNNNNNNNNNNNNNNNNNNNNNNNNNNNNNNNNNNNNNNNNNNNNNNNNNNNNNNNNNNNNNNNNNNNNNNNNNNNNNNNNNNNNNNNNNNNNNNNNNNNNNNNNNNNNNNNNNNNNNNNNNNNNNNNNNNNNNNNNNNNNNNNNNNNNNNNNNNNNNNNNNNNNNNNNNNNNNNNNNNNNNNNNNNNNNNNNNNNNNNNNNNNNNNNNNNNNNNNNNNNNNNNNNNNNNNNNNNNNNNNNNNNNNNNNNNNNNNNNNNNNNNNNNNNNNNNNNNNNNNNNNNNNNNNNNNNNNNNNNNNNNNNNNNNNNNNNNNNNNNNNNNNNNNNNNNNNNNNNNNNNNNNNNNNNNNNNNNNNNNNNNNNNNNNNNNNNNNNNNNNNNNNNNNNNNNNNNNNNNNNNNNNNNNNNNNNNNNNNNNNNNNNNNNNNNNNNNNNNNNNNNNNNNNNNNNNNNNNNNNNNNNNNNNNNNNNNNNNNNNNNNNNNNNNNNNNNNNNNNNNNNNNNNNNNNNNNNNNNNNNNNNNNNNNNNNNNNNNNNNNNNNNNNNNNNNNNNNNNNNNNNNNNNNNNNNNNNNNNNNNNNNNNNNNNNNNNNNNNNNNNNNNNNNNNNNNNNNNNNNNNNNNNNNNNNNNNNNNNNNNNNNNNNNNNNNNNNNNAAUGGUAAGUUGACCUAACUUCAUUGUUAAUGUAGAAUUGAUAUAGAAUUGUGAUAGAUUGAUGUGUGAUCCACUUAUGGUGGAGGUGCUUAUAUGUUGAAUGUAUUGUGAUUAUGGCCUUGAAGGCAUUGUAUGAGGAAGUUGAAGUGUUGACAUGAUAUCAUAUAUGUGAAUGUGAUGUGAAGGAUUUGAAUGAGAAUCUAAUGAUGUAUAGGUAAUCAUGUUGUGAAUGUAAAGGUGUUCAUGUGAUCUCAAAGUGAUUUUGUAUAAGUUGUUAUUGUAUUGUGAUUGGAAGUAUGUCCUCUCUUAAUGUUCAUAUGUGAUGAUGAUGGAAUGUGAAGAAUUUCUAUAAUGUGAUGUAUGUCUUGAAUUGGUAGACUUAGGUGCCUCUUCUUGAUACAUGGAAGUUAUGGAAUGUAAUCUCUUAACUUGGUAGGCUUAGGCACCCUUCUCUUGAGUAAUGAAUGUAUCUUGACUUGAUGUAUUAUUGUAUUAAAUUGGUAGACCUUGAGUUGGUGCCCCUUCAUAAAUGAAUGAAUGUCUAGAAUCGGUAGACCUAAGUAUGGUGCCCUUUCUAUGAAUGAUUAAUGAGGCUUCUAGGCUAUGUCUUGAACCGAUAGACCUAAGCAUGGUUCCCCUUCAUGAGGACCCUAGGACCCUAAGUGAAUGUAAAACCUUGAAGCGGUAGACCUUAUGAUGGUGCCUCCUUCUUGUGUGAAAUGAUAGACUUAGAGUUGGUGGACUGGAACAGUAGAAAGCCCUCUCUAAGAAAGUUAAUGAGCUAUACUUAAUGAACCUUGAUCGGUAGAUCCUUGUGGUGCCCUUCUUGGUAGAUGUGCUAUGGGUCGGUAGACCUAAUGAUGGUGCCCUCUCUAGUACAUACAUGUGAAUGAAAUUACUCUAUGGGAACUAAGGCUAAACACCGAGUGGAUAUGGUUAAGAUGGUAGCUCUUCUUGAGUAUGAGGCGAGAGUACAAUGAACAUCUUUGGAUAUCCCCUAAACCAUGUGCCUACAUGGAAUGUGUCCUAGUUUUACCCUUGGCAAGUAGAACACCUUCCACGGUGUAGGGUUUUAUGACACCAGAUUCCAUGCCUAGCUAGUAUGGUCUAUGUCGGUUAAUGUUUAUUCCCAUUAUGUGGGAUGUGCACUCUAGUCAUUGGAUAGGUUCUACAACGUGUAGGUAGUAGUAUGGGAUGCUAUCUACACAUGGCACUAGUAGGCCUUGAAGAUACUAAAGUGAGUUCCCUAAGCCUUAAUGGCUAUUGUAUGAAAGUCCUCUAAAUGCAUGAAUGUGUCCUAAAAUGGUGUAAUAAAGAAUGUUGACUUAGCACGUUGUAUUGUAAUGAUAAAUUCCUUAUCUAUGGUAACCCUUAGGAACACUUAGGUGUAUAUGAAGAUGUUGUAUGGGCGGUCACUUCAUGUCUCACUUAAGUGUGGCUUAGGGUGACUUGAGAUAGAGGUUUCAAGAUGAUGAAAUGACUUACUUGACUAUUAUGUUUAUGUAUUGUACAUUGGUACUAGUUGAGUAUGUCUAUUAUGUGGGUAUUGUCUUAUAUGUGGAUGAUGACUUGAAAUGUGUCUCUUAUACUUGUGUUAUGAAGGUUUUACCAAAUGGCAUAAAGCAUGUUUCUCCAAUAAAUGUCCCCUUUUAGCAUGUUUUUGCAUGGUUUCCAUACUUAGUACUUAAUUGUGUUAACCCCUUUCUUCCCCUCUUCUUACUAAAGUGUAGGGAUUGGAGAUGUUGGUGUUCUAUGGUUGAUGGAUAGGUUCCUAAGGUGCUUGAAGAUGAAGACUUGGUGAGUCCUCAUAGAUUCGGGGACAACACCCAAUAUGUUCCUUUAUGUCUUGUAGUUUUGUUCAAGUUUUGUAUGGGCUUAGUCCCAAUGUUGUACUCUAAAGGUAUUAGAUGGUUUUGAGACAUCAUGUAUAAAGUCUAGAAGUCUUCCGUUUGCUAUUUUAUUAAAAGGUGUUCUUUCGAUUGUAAAGAAAGUUUUAAAUUCCUUAUGAUUUUUAGUGUCUAUGCGAUGAAUGAAUGCUAAGAGGCUUGUAUUAGACCUCCGAGAGGUUGAGUACACCGGUUACGACUAGGGGGUGCUCUCAGGUUGUGACAAUUGCAUCCCUUUAUUCAUUUACUGUUAAGUUAUAGGUUUUAAGAGUCUUAGUUAGAUAUGAUUAAAUGAUAAUUUUCCUUCUUAGUAUUCUUGCCUUUAUGCACUUCUUUAAUAUUAUAUCUUUCCAUCUAGUUAGGAAGUUUCUUUAAUCGAAUGGUAUAUCUUAGUCAUAAUUACUAGUUGCAAUUAUCUCUUUUCUUUGGAUAUAAGAUCUUUACCCUUUUCUGUUUAGAAGUGUAUUGGUUUCAUAAUCAUGCUUAUCUCUUGAAAUUAUUCAUGCAUUUAUCUCCAUUUCUUUUAGUUAUUAGUUUGACCAUUUGUUCGUUGGACCUUUAUCUCUUUCGUAAUUCUUUUAUUUCCUUUUGUUGCAUGUGGAAAUCCAUCAGAGUUCACCAUGAACUCCUAUUCCCCUUCCUCGCAUUUUGAGAGAGUCAUAAAGGCUUAAAUCACUUCCUUCUGAAUCGGCCAGCCUUUGGAAUCAAGGAAACGGACCUCAAAAAAUUGAUGAACAUGAAUUGGAGCUAAUUCGGGAUCGUAUACACCUAGUGUAUACGAAAAUCGAGAAAUGGGCCCAAAUGCCUCCAAAUGCCUCCAAAUUCCAGAAGUUGUAUUUUGUUACUUUUGGGGCUAAGCCGACUUAUUUAUUAUUAUCUUGUUAGAGUUUAGGAUAGGUGGAAGAUGGGCCCAAAGCCCAAAGAAAUAAAAUUCAAAAUUCAGUCGAGGACAGAUACAAAAGUUGGCAAGAAUUGGGCCUUUGGCCUAAAACGAAAAUAGGCCCAAGUACUGGCCCAGACGGACAGAUCCAGACUUGGGCCCAAAUCUUCUUUCCCUAUCUCAUUUAUUUGCUGUUAGGUGUUUUAUGUGUUUAUUUGAUUUUAAGGUUUCCUAAUCAAUUCCCCAAAAUAUAGUCACUUCGAGAUUUUCUAAAGACUAAAAAUCAUGCUUAUUUUUCUACUUAAAUUACUUUAAAAUUUUACUUAAUAGUAUUUUUAAUAUUUCUCUCCCCUAAAAAUGAUGUUAAGUCUUAAUUGCUUAUUCCCUCUAUUUAAUCAAGUAUGUGUAUUUUCUUAAAACUGUUUAGCCAAAUAGUUAAUUAUUGGAUAAUCGCAUGUUAGCGGGCAUUUCGGGUGCUUUAAAACCCUUCCCGAAAUGCUAAUAUGAACCCCGAAUCCUUUAAAUAUUUUCAAAAGAUUUCUGUUUUAGUCUUUUGGGAAAAAAUAGUUUUUUUUUGUGUUACUUUAAAAAUUAAGUGGCGACUCUUAAAACCAAUUUUUUUUAAAAAAAUAAAACAACAAACAUGUAUCGAUAAGUACAAUUUAAGAACGAAAUAUAAAAGUAUAGAAAUAUAUACAAAUUAAUAUAUACUAAUAAGAUUUGUACAAAUAUCUGGCUUUAUUCAAAUUCGUUUUGUUCUAUUAAAUCAGAGACGACAUCAUCGUUGGUUUUUGACUCUUUGCUAUUAGAAUAAAUUUCCUUUACUUGGAUCUAAACUAUUUAUUUGAUAAUUUGUUACAUAACGAUUGGAUCGUUUCUAUGCUUGGAUUCAAAAUCUUGAUUCAACCUCUUCCCGACAAUUGCUCUAUAUUUUACAAAUGACUCUGCAACACUAAUUAUUUUCCGUCGCUAGCAACCCUAUGUGCCACAAUCAUUAACCAAAUUGGCAUUUCUAAAGUAGACCGCAAAAGUCGCGUAACUCUUAAAAUGAAGAUUCAAAAUGUAAUUUUAUAAAGUGAAAAUUUUAUAAAUGACAUUUAUUAGACUAAUAUUUUCAAGUUAUAGUAGUAGAAUAAAACUUUCAAGUUGUAACAAUAAAAAAUUUCAGGUUCUAAUAUUUUAUUAAAAAAAAAGUUUUUUAAGUAAUUAUAAAAAAUAAGUUUUGAAAAAAAAAAGAAGAUAAAAAAGGAUAAAAAAUCAAAUUUGAAAAAAUGAAGAAGAUAAAAAACGGAUAAAGGUGUAUUAAUUAAUUUUGAAUUCCUUGAUGAUAAUUGUUAAUUGUCAUAAAUUUAGGAGAUUCAAACAAAUUAGAAAUAAUUAUUUUCCUUAUUUCACUCAAAUCUGUUAACAUUAAUUAAAAAAUAAGAUUUUAUUCAUUUUGUUCAAACGUUUUUCUCUCUUCGUUUUAUUUUAGAAUUUGGUGUCACUCACGAGUAGAUCCAAAUUUUUUUGGUUGAAUAAUCUUCAUUUUGUUGUAAUGAACGGCUUCUUAUCUAUAUUAAUUAAACAUGGUGGUAGAUGACAUCCUUCUAGUUAGUAUUCUUUACGAUUUAUUAUUUGUAUUUGUAUAUUACUGAAACGUAAAAAAAGAACAAUGAAUCUGUAAAUGACAUUUUUUUGAUUUUGUUUAUGUAUACUAGAUUUAAGUUGUGAUGUUUUUUGUAUGAACAUAUUUUAUUCAUAAUACGUAAUUAUUUUUGUGAAACUGGAGUUAAUGUUGGUACGAUUGUUUUUGCUAUUUUUUUUUGGUUAUUUUGUAUACUGUUUAUAUCAUGGAUUUGUGCGAUAUUGGAUUAAUAUCUAAAUGAUUUGAGUACAAGUGUAUGGAAUAUUAAUAGUAUUAGCGUUGUAAAGUUAUGAAAUUUGUGACAAAAAAAAUGUAUGAAAUGUGUUUAAUGGUAUGAAAUGUGUUGUAACAUUGUUAUGAAACUGGUAUUUUUUUAGUCAAUUUUAUAAUAAUAAUGAGAUGGAUUCGGUAUGCAGUUUAAAAUUAUAAUAUGGGAUACUAUUUUUUUUUCUUCUGAAAAUUUAAAUAAAAUGUGUAGGUUGGAAUGAAUUUGGUAGUGUAUUUGGAAUGAUAUUGGUAUGAAUAAUUAUUCACUAUUGUGUAAAUAAUAUGAUUAAGAAGUAUGAUGAUUUGUAUGAAAUUGUAUUAGGUUGGUAUGAAAUUUGAAUAUAAAUACAACACAUGUUUUACUUUUGUGUUAUGUAAAAGUGACUGUGAUUUCGUAAUGAAACAGAGAAAUAUCCUACGCCAAAACAAUGAUGUCGUCAAGUGGGUCACAACAGGAAGACAUGUUCAAAUUAUCCUGCGCCAAAACAAUGAUAGUUUAUUUGUUUAAACUAUACAAAAAAAUUAUUUUAUUUUGUCUUUUAGAUUCAUGUUUUGUUUUGAUUGUGACAAUGUAUUCAUUGUUUUCCAAUAAUAUUUAUUGACAAUGCAUAUCAAAUAUAUACAAAAUUGAUAACAAAUGCAUUCCAGCAUAGUGUUUAAUAUAUUGUUCAUGUUUUAUACAAGAUUCAUUCAGUAAUCAUACCAAUUGCGUACUGCUGGAAAUCAAAUUCAUGUCAAUUUAAUAUAUAAGGUACUAUUCAUAUUAGUGAACAUUAUAUAAGGUAAUUAUGGUAUGCAUUUGAUAAUCCAUUUGGUAUGCAACUGAAUAGCCACUGCUAUUAUUUAAUGUAAUUUAGCAUGAGUAUUAAUUUUGUAUCCAACUGGUGUCCUACUCUAAACAAAAUAAAACAAGAUGUAAUUGAUGUUGGUGCAAAAUUUAAUGAUCAUUGUUUUAAAUUGUCAGAUUCAUUUCUUCUGAUAUUUAUACAGAUUGUAUACCAACUUCAUUGAUAAUAUAAAACAAGAUGUAAUUGAGAUUGUUACAAAAUACAAUGAUCACUAUUUUACAUUGGCAUAAUCAUUUCUUCAAGGUAUUUAUACGGGUUGGAUACCAACUUCAUUCAUUUUUAUUUUUUUAUUUUUUGUGUUAGAAUAUGAAGUAAAAAAAAAUCAAUCAUGUACGAAUUUGGAUGCCAAAAGUAUACAGUUUGGAUACCAAUUAUAAGACAGAGUUAGUUCAUGAACUCUAGGUGUUCGUUUUGUUUCAGUUAAUAAGACAUUGUUAGUCAUGAACUCUAAAUGUUGAAUUCAAUUGGUAUGCAGUUUGUAUAUAACUGUUAUCCCGAAAAUUAUCAUACUUAAUGUGUAAUAUAUCUUUUGAAUGGGGUAUCCAAUUGGUAUGCAGUCUAUAUAUAACUAGUAUCCUGAAAUUAUAAUAGUCAAUCUGUAAUUCAUAUGUAGUUGGUAUCUGAUUGGAAGAAAACAAUGGAUAUUAUAUAUCAUCAAAUACUUAAAACUGUAUCAAACACAAAAAUAUCGUCCAAAUUUUUUAAAAAAAAAUUGUAAUUCUAAAAAGUCUAAGUUGCAAUUAACUAUCUCAAAUUAGAUCUCCGUGGUCUUGGUGUAGGAUAAUUGUUGGUAUUCGGAGCAUGUUCUUUUGCUAUGCGAGGUCCACCAAACUUGCUAGCAACAGUUCCAGUUAUUUCACUCUCACUGAUCGCGUCAUCAUCGUUCUUUGUUUUUCCAUAAUGUCAUAUUAUUGUGGCAUACCUUUGACGAUGGUACUUUGCAUCGAUAUCAACGAAACGCAUAUCAAAAACUCCAUUACUGAUGUAUUUAGCAAAUAGACAUGUGUACAAACCACAAUCACUCGAAAAAAAUGAAAGAAAAAUAAUUUUAAGAAAUAAAUUGAGUUAACUUUUCAUUUCACAUUCAUAUACAUAAAUUUUAGCAAUACAUCAUACCAGAUUUGGAAAAAAAAUCACACCAAUAUUAUUGAAACAUCGUACCAGAUUCAUGUGCACUGUGGCAUUUAACAAACUACUUUCAUAAAUUUAUCCAACUACAAUUAAAAUAAUUUUCAAAACAACAUCUAAUAUCAAUUUAUACAAAUUUCAUACCAAUGUUAAAAAUUAAAAUACAUUAGUGGAGAAAUUGAAAAAUAAACCUUCCUAUUAGGAAAAAUACUAAUUUCAUAGCAAUAUUAGUCAUAAUUCAUACAAAAAAGAGUAAUUUAACAAACUGCACUAAAAUCACCUAAUUGGGCUACUGAUAUCAAACGAAUUUAAUACCAAUGUCAAAACACAUUUCAUACCAAUUGUAUAUCAAUAUUAAAUCACAUUUCAUGUCAUAUUCAUAAAUCAUAUAUUAAAGUUAGAUUCAUAUCAAUAUUAUUCACAUUUCGUACAAGUUUCACACCAAUACAAGUUUCGUACCAACAAUAUGCAUAAUAUAAUAUUUUUAACAAAAAACCACUAAUUUGAAAAUAAAUUAAAUAUAAUACUUAUCCUAACCAUUUUUGCCUUUUUUGGAUAUUGGGAUUUCUGAGUCCUCCUUCAUUGUUGCUCUUCUUCUUAAUGAUUUUGAAGACUGAUCAAUUUCGACAUUUGUUGCUUUUUUUGGUUUUUUCUUUUUUAUCUCACUUACGAAAUCCGAAUCAAAAUCAGAAUGUGACAAGUUUAUUAAUUGCUUUCUCCACAUUCUUAGUGUGUAGAUCUCCUCCAAUCAUUGAAUCAUAUACAUGUGGAAAAGUUUGUUGAUUUUCUUUUUGAAUGAAGAAGACGAACGUUGAAUAUGGUGAAGAAAGAAAAAAUUAGUUCUCUGUAAAAGAGGAACGUGGGGGUGGGGUGUGGGGUUUGCGUAAGGGUAAAAGAGGAAGGUGGAGGUGUGGGUGGGGGGUUGUCGUGUGAAAACUGGAAAAUUUCCCCCCUAAAAAUGGUGUAAGGGAUAAUGACAAUUGAUUCUCUAAUAUUAAUUUUAUCCCUAAAAUGGUGUAAGAGAUAAUGACAAUGUAAAAAGGAAGAUGAAUCAAUGUAAAUUCGGCGUGUAACUGUAAAAAAGUAACAGAAAUCAAUGUAAAUCCCUAUAAUUGUGUAAGAGAUAAUUAUGGUGUAUUCUUUAUUUAAAUAAUAUAAUAAUAAUAUAAAAAUAUUAAUUAUUUAAUAAAUUAAAAUUUAAUUGAUUUAUAAAUAAAUAGUGAUAUGUUAUAACCCAUAAUUAAACUGUUAUAAGCAAGAAUUUUUUAAAAGUAGAUUUAAAACUCAUAAUAUUAUCUCUUAAAUGUGUAUGUGGAGUGAUUUUUCCUUUUAUAAAAGAGUUAGGCUAAGAAAAAUUGUAUACAAACAAAAAUACUAAAAAAUAGUUUGAAACAUGUUUGGGCGGUUACUGCCGAGUGUUGAAAAAAAGUUGAAACAUAUUGAAAGUUGAAUUGUGAUGUCACGAUUAGGAGGGGCAGAAAUUAAAUUCAAAACUAAAAAUUAAUUUGGAUGAGAGAUUUGAAAAUUAGUGAGUGGAGAGAGGAGAGGUAAAAUUAAAUUUGUAUAAUAUUGUAUACAAAUCCGCCAAGUGUAUCUUUUGUUUUCAGAUACAAACUAUAUGUGGGUGUCGUAAUUAAAAGCAAAUUUUAUUAAAUUAUACCCACAAAUCAUAAUUUUGCAAAACUAUAACUUCAUUCACUAGUAUACUACUAAUGUUUACCAUUACGCGUAAUUUUCUCUUUUCUAUAAGUAAUCAAAAAAUAUUACACCAGUGUCAAAUGACCUAAAGUCAGAACAAAAAAAGUAUCAAAAAAUAAAGCGAUGAUAGGUUAGGCCCAAAAUAUCCAGCCCUAGGACAUGGAUAAGGGGGAAAGGAUUUCCUAAUUGUGUCUCCCAUCAUUUUUCGCUCAAACCCUUUAGACAUCUGGAUAAUGUUGUCGCUGGCAUAUAGUUGAAAUCUUUGCAUGUUCUAUCUGCUUCUCUGGGUUUAACACUCGUGUUCCUCUAUUUAAUGCGUCUUUUGGGUCAACGUUCAAAAGUAAGUGUCUCACCUCUUCUCUUUUUUUCUUGUUUUGAAGCUCGAUUCUGGCAUUCACUUCUCCCUCUUUGGCAUUAGCUAUGUUCUCCGGCGGAUAGGAUUGCGCUAUACCCCGUAGGCCUGAAGAGGGGCACUAUCAUAUGAAACUGUAUUUGUACUCUGUGUAAAUUCCUACUCCUUCGUGUUUUCCUCCUUCCUUUCCAAUUUAUUUCUGACAUUGUUUGUCAUGACCCAAAAAUGGACGUGAUGGAACUUGUCUAUCCCCACCAAGACAUGUUAGCCUCAACCCAACAACACGAAAGAAAUUCGGAAAGUAAGCAAGAAUAACAUAAGACGGGACACUUAUUCAUUCUAAUAUAAUUCCAAAACCUUGUUGUCACGUGUACAAGCCAGUAAUGUAUAAAGUGCAUAAUCGAAAGAUAAUUAUAUGUCUCAAUGUCUUUGUUUCUCAAAUAUAACAAGGCAUAAAAUAAGGAACAAGAAGGCCUGUCGGAAUGACAAGCAUCUACCUCUCAAUGUAUCCUCAGAAAGCCUCGGAUAUAACUAGAAGAAGAGCAAUCACAUGGAUCCAGAACCUACAUAAGAGUAGAAUCAAGGAGUGAGUACGAAUCAACACAGUACUCAGCAAGUAACCAAAUAAACAAGGCAAAACUAGCUAGAAUAUGAGUACUCCUUUCAUCUCAGCCAAAUCUCCUUAAACUACAACCUACAUAGAAAUCAUCAUAGUCUAACAGUUUCACAAUACGCAGUUCACAAGAUUAAUAGUUACAGUCCAAUGGUCACAGUUCAACAACCAACAAGUAUCAAGUAUGAAUUUCUCAAAUGACAAGUAGAUCAAUCACAAUCAUCAAGUUCAUCAAAUUACAAUAAUCAAAUACUUGCCAGAACCAUUCCUAUAACACUCCAGAAAAUUUUGAGCUAAAACUCAAACCAUUCUUCGUUGUGAGUAAGAUUUUUACCAAGGAAUUUAAAUUUUCUUAAGUGUUAAGAUCACUAGAUGUAGCACCUUGAGUUAAAAAAAAAAAGAACUGGUCACUAGAUGUAGCACCUUGAGUUCCAAAAAGAACUAAAGAGAAAUUCAUUCAAGUCAUUCGUAAAUUCUUUUAAGUUUUGGGUCAACUUCAAACGACUAUAACUUUUAGCACAUAAUGAGUUAGGAGGCCCAUAUGAUAUCAAAUGAAAGAUCUCUGAGUCUUCUUUCCAACACCCCCGGAUUUGCUAAAAUCCGAGUUCAGAUGAGGGAGAUAUGCCCGUUUGAGUUCAACCUGUACAAUUAAGGAAAUUUACUUGAAUUAAUGAGGGGUAUUUUGGUCUUUUCCUUACCCCCACUAGCCUAGCUCAUUUUUCAUAUAAGUAUAUUCUUAAUUUGUGCUUAUAGGGAUGAAGAAGAAAACCACGGAAGAUACAAAAGUAGAGAAAAUUAUGAAUUUCAGAAGAAGAUGAUGUAGAGUCUUACAAUAAAAUUAUUGUUAUAGUAAUUUUAUCUCUUUAGUUUUUCUUUCCUCUUCUCUAUUUUCCAUUUAUGUACUUUAUUGAAGAACUUAAAAUAUACUUUAAAAUUCUUUUAAUUGUAGCUCCUUAGAUUCUCUUUUUUCUUAAAGUUAUAUUUAAAAACGUAAUGGGAAGAGAAUAAAAUGAUAAAUAAGACAAAUUAGAAGACUGAGAAAGAGAACUUGAUAAAGAAAUCUUUUUUUUAUAUGUCUAUAGUUGUAUAUACAUAAUUCAUUAGGCAAAAUUAUGAGUUUUUGUCAAUUUUUAUUAUGAUAGCUUUUUGCAGCAUCCUAAAACGAACACUAUAUACUUGAAGUUACUGUUUAUUUGCAUGCUGAAGUGCAUUUCUAAAUUCGAUACUACGAUUAGAAGUAUUUUAAAGAGCAAAAAUUUGAUAACUUAUAAAAAAAAGUGUCAUUCAUGCAAUGAAUUAAAAAAAAUUGACAACAAACUAGAGCAUUUGUGUAAUUCUUAAGAAAAAGUAAAGAAACUAAAAACAUUAUAUCAAUACUUUCAUUUUCAAAAGAGAAGAAGAAAAGGAAGACAAUAUAUAAGGUCAUAAAUUUAUGUUUAUAUAAAACUAGAAUGAAACAACACUUCUUUUAACUUUAUAUUAGAAUACAUCUUUUUAAAUUAAGAUUUUUUUAUUUACUCUCACAUUUUAAUGCAAUAUUUAACUUAUCUUUUUUGUUUCUAUCUCUUUUUUGGUUUCUCCCUAUUUCUAUGUAACUAAUGUAAGAAUUAAUUAAGAAAAAAUAUAAGAAUUAGUUCCUCAAUUAUCACUAUUAAUAACUUAUCAUUUUUCCUAUGUCCUUACCAUAGACAAGGUGAUAUGUUACCUCUCUUUACCAAAGAUCUUAUUAUUAUUUUUUGAUAAAUUUCACUAUAUUUUAAUUUAUUAUUAUUAUUACUUUAAAAAGUGUCAAUUACUACUCUCUCCAUUCAUUUAUAUAUAUAUAUUUUUUUUUUGUAAAAGCUUAAAUAUCUCAAAAUUUAUUAUGCCACUGAUUCUUAUUCUUUGUUGUAAAUUCAAAGACUUAAAUAUUUAUCACUCCAACCUUUCAUUUCUCCAUAAAGAAUGAAAAACUAUAUCUAUCUAUAUAUAAUAUAAAAUUAGAUAUUAAAAAGUAAUUUGACACCUCUCUUUGGCCAAUGAUUCUAUUUAUUUAUUUUCUCAUUUUUGUUGUUGUUGUGAAUUUCACUAUAUUUCUAUUUAUUAUUACUAUUAAAAAAUAUGUCAAUUACUACUCCCUUCAUUAAUUUCUAUUAUUUAUUGUAAGAAUUUAAAUAUCUCAAACUUUACUACUCCACUUAUUCCUAUUCUUUAUUGUAAAUUUAAAUACAUAAUAUUUAUCACUCAAAUCUUUCAUUUUUUACCAAAAGAAUGAAAAUUUAUCAAAUUAGACUAGUCUAAUGAAAUAUCUUUUCAAAUAGCUUGAAAAAAAAACCCACCCCUUUAACUUUCUUAAUUAUGAGAUUUCUCUUUUUAUCUUAAUUUUCAAAAAUCUAAAAAAUAUUUACAUAAUUAUUCAAUUAAAGAAUAAGAUAAUUACUCACCAAAUAAAUUUAAAAAAGAGUUGUAACUCUACAAAAAUAAUUCUCAACAUUCAUUUAUAUUUAUUACAUUUUCAUGAUGAACCAUGAUUAAAGUUAGAAAUGAAAAAAUAUCGCACUAGCGAAAAAAUAUAUAUAUAUUUUUCAACUUUUUCCCUAUUUUUCCAUUUAUUUUAUCAGUUUAUAAGAAUAAAAGUCACAAUUAUUAUCAUUUAUUAUCCUAACUUUUCAUAUUUUUUACUAAAAAACAAAACUCAUCCACAUAUUGAUUUAUGAGAUCAUUGGUAUUCACUUUUAACUUCAUAUUUAUGUAGUGUUUGGUUUACAAAAUUUAUUUAGUUUUUAUAUAAAAUUGAUAUUUGAACUCUCUUGUGUAUUUAUUAUUUCUAAUGUAAUUUUCUUACAUAAUAUUAAUUAAUUAGUAGAUGUGUGAAUUGAAUAUAACUUCUACUUCCUUUCUUGAAUCUAGAAUUACACUUUCUAUACUUUUCAUAUGAAAGUUUUGUGUGGAUAUAUGAAAAGUUUAGGCUAUUAAUUUUAUUAAUUGCACUAAUUGACAUGCUCAUAUUUUAAAGUAAUAAUUGUGAAAAAGUUAAAUUACAAGUAAGAGAAAUUACAUGAAAUCUAAAUUAGAUAGUUAAAUAAAUUUAUAAGCUUAAAUAGUAUUAUAUAAAGAAAGUUAUUAGUAAAAUAUAAUAAAUAAUUUAAAACAAAAAAAAAAGAGAUAGUGACGUAUAUAAAAUUGGCGCAUACAAAUAUUUCUUUGUAUUUCUCCAAGGCAAAAUUAUAAUACUCUUUUUUUUCUUGAAACUAAUUUAAUUUAUUCUUUUUGUUCUUUUUUUCUUUAUAUAUAUAUAUAUAGAGAGAGAGAGAGAGUGUUUUUAGUAUUAAAAUUUCUUAAUUUCUUUUAUAUCAAUUAAAUAUAGAAAAAUAUGACCACGCGAAGCGCGAUUUUGUUAACUAGUUAGAUAUAUGUUAUGAAGGAAAAUAUUUAAAACAAAUAAAGAAGAAAAAAAUUUAAAACAUGUAGGAGAUAAGAAAAAGUAGUGCAAAUACUAUUUAAGUGAAACACCACUAACCGUGGAAUUUCAAAGGGCCAACAACUUUUAGAAUCUAUAUAUCAUAUCAUCAUAUCAUAUAUCAUAUUAUACUAAAAGUGGAAAGUCACAAAAGUAAAAGUUGAAAUACUAUUUUACCCCUAUCUUAAUUCAAAAUGUUAUAAAACUCUAAGCAAUUAAAUAUUGAAUAAUAAUUAUAUCAUAUUAUAUUAUAUUAAAUACUAAAAAUUAAAAGGUGUUUCAAAAGACAUUUUAAGAAUGUCACUUCAUUCUCCAACAUAACUUUUGAGCCUUCUACAGAAUUCUAGGCAAACUUUUGGCUUAUCAUAUUAUACUAAAAGUGGGAAGCCAUAAAAGUAAAAGUUGAAAUACUACUAUUUUACCCCCUAUCUUAAUUCAAAAUGUUAUAAAAUAUCUAAGCAAUUAAAUAUUAAAUAAUAAUUAUAUCAAAUUAUAUUAAAUACUAAAAAUGAAAAGGUGUUUUAAAAGACAUCUUAAGAAUGUCUCUCCAUUCUCCAACAUAACGUUUGAGCUUUCUACAGAAUUCUAGGCAAACUUUUGGCUUAUAAAUAUCAUGUUCAUGAGGUAAAAUCAUUAUUGACAAAUACAUAAGCUAAUUCGCCUUUCAAAGCUCAGAAGAAAAAAUAAACCGAUUUCAUCAAUUAUAGAAAAUGCUUAAGCAUGGAGAUCGUCGAUUAAGUAGAAGGUUGUAGUGGAGUAUUCUCUUGCUUUUCGAAGGGUUUAGACUUAGUGAUGUCUGUUGUAGUAGUACUUUUAUUCUUGUAUUGUUUUGCUUUUGCUUUCUACCACCAAUUGUUUUUAUGAUGUUUCAGUUAUUGCACUUUUUUUUUGUUAUUGUUUUCAUAAUAGUUGUUAUAUUAUAUUAUAUUAUAUUAUAUUCUCUUCACUGUCAUUCUUCUUUUUCAUAUUGCUGUACUUGACUCAAGUUGAGGGUCUUCUGAAUUGAGGUAAGGUCUAUACACACCCUACACUCCUAGACGGAUUUCACGAGAUAUGUUAUUAUUAUAAAAUAAAUAGCUAUAAAAUCAGAAAACAAAUUUAAACGUUUGAGCUGAAUUGAUAAAUGUAACGUUUGAGUUGAAUUGAUAAAUGUAUAUAUAUUUUGCUUUGUUAGCAAGUUUUGUCGAGAAAUAUGUUUAUUCAUCCUUUUUGAUCAGUGGUAGAACCUGGUGAACCAGGCCUACUGCUUGCCUUUCUUUUUGGAGCCUUAUAUUAAUUAUAUAAUUUUUAAGAUUUCUUUUGUCUUUAAAUUUCAAUUCUCUUAGUUAAUUUAGUAUUUAGAGUUCGAAGUAUUUACAUGCAUUUACAGUAAUCUAAAGCAUAAAAUUCAAUUGGCAUAUUUCUAUAUACCAUUAUGGGGCUAUAUGAUAUUGAUUUUCUUCACGUAUUUAUUGCUAGAUGGUAACUAUGUUUGUCCGUUUUUUCGAGUUUAUUUCUAUUCAGCAAAUAAAUUACAGUAAACACAAUACAAGUUCAACUUUUAAAUUCGCAAAUUUUAAAUGGCGUCUCUGUAUCAUAACAACAAAUAUUUUCUCAAGUGACAGAGAUUUUAAAAUACAUUUUUAAUUUAUUAUUUUGUUACACAAAUUUUAUAAUAAAAGUUGAAAAUAUAUAUAUGCAAAGCAUAUAUAUAUGUGUGUGUGUGUGUUAUGGUGUAUGAAGCGAUGAAUAUGAUGUCAAGCACCGUUGGUAAAUUUGGUCUCUACUCUUGUCAGAAAUAAGUAUUAUCUUAUUCUGGAGAAAAAUAUGAUGCGUACUUCGUUAUACAUAAUUUACAAAUUAUAGGAUUUGUCAGUGCAAUUACUUCCCUCUCAUGGUCUGUACCUUUUGAUUUUUCCUCUUUAAACUUGUAGCUUCUGAAUUUCGAAUAUGGAUAAGUUAUUGAUUCUAUAUUUAUUUUCUAUCUAUAAUCUAUAUGAAUAAAGUCUUAUGAAUGAUGUGUAUGCUAUAUUUUUCUUCUAUUUUUUUUGUGUGUUUUUUCUCUAUUAGACUUCACCUAUCUAUUUUUUAUGAAUUUUUUUUUAUCAUUAUCGUAAGUUUGUAUUGCUAUUUGGCUCAAAUUUGUCAUUUGUGACUUUAUUGGAAGUCUGUUAAUUACUAAACAAAGUUUAAAAAUUACCGAUAAUAGCUUCAACGAAAUUGAUUUACCGAUGGUAGCUUCAAAGGAAUUGAUUUCAAACAUUACAAUGUGUCCCUCAUUUGGUGUUUCUUGACGCACAUUAAAAAAAUAUUACCCACUUCACACGAUUUGCAUAAAAUUUUAAUUGUUCUAACGAAUCAAUAAAAAUUCACAUGAUACACACGUGCAACGCACGUGUCCAGAGACUAGUAUAUAUAUAAAGGAGAAACAUAGAGAAGGUGAUGAUGUUGCACCUCUCUAUGGCCCCCAUUCAUAUUUGUCUCUUUUUUUUACCGUUUUUUCCUUCAAUAUUUAAUUAUUUUAUUUUUAAUACCUCAAAAAGUCUUCACAUUCAAUUACUCAACUUUUCACUUACCACUAUAAUAUAUAUAUUUAAUAUCUUUAAUAAAAUAAGAAAUAACUACCAAUAACUCACACCUCUUCAACUUAUAAUCUUAAUAAUAUUCAUAACUCCAUUUUUUUUUAAUCUUCAUAACCCCCAAAAAUUAAAUUUAUUAGUUUAUGACACCUUAUGGUAUUCCUCCUCUUUUUCUAUAUAAGUUCAUAUUUUGUAGCAAGAAAAAUUUUAUUCAAAGUUAUUCUUUCACUUCUCCAUCACCAUAUCAUACAUUAGGGUGAGGAAGAAAUACUAAUCAUCACAUGAUAUGGUUGCUUUCAACAAAAUCGUAAAGAAUCUAUGGGUAAAAAUGUUUUUUUUUUAUUUGUUAAAUUAUUUAAUAAUUUAUGUGAUGUUAUUUAUUUUGUUUAGUCAAUUUAACUAAUCUUUGAAACUAAAUUGAAUAAACUCAAUCCAAAUAAAAUCAUGGAGUAACUAACAAUUUCUUAAUAUACUAUAUGUGCUUGUAGGGUGAAGAAGAAAGUUGAGGAAGAUACAAAAGUAGAAAAAAUUAUGAAUUUUGGAAGAAGAUAAUGUAGAGUCUUACAAUAAAAUUAUUAUUAUAGUAAUUUUAUCUUUUUAGUUUUUCUUUCAUAUUCUCUAUAUUUCAUUUAUGUACUUUAGUAAAGAACUUAAAAUAUAAAGAUUUUUUUUCCUUUUCUUUUAUAUGACUAUAGUCGUACAUACAUAAUUCAUUAGGUUAAAUUAUGGUUAGUUCUUCUGAAUUUUUAUUAUGAUAAUUUUUUGCGACAGUCUAAAACGAACAUUAUGUACUCGAUGUUACUAUUUAUUUGUAUGCCGAAGUGCAUUCCUAAAUACGACACUAAGAUUAGAAACAUUUUAAAGAGCGGAAAUUUGAUAACUUACAAAAAGAAAAAAAAAAUGUUAUACAAGCAAUGAAUUAAAAAAAUUGACAACAAACUUAAGUAUUUGUAUAAUUUUAAUGAAAAACUAAAAAAACUUUUUGAUAAAUUUCACUAUAUUUUAAUUUAUUAUUAUUAUUUAAAAAGUGUCAAUUAUUACUCUCUCCAUAUAUUUCUAUUAUAUAUUGUAUUCACUUAAAUGUCUCAAAAUUUAUUAUUCUACUUAUUCCUAUUCUUUAUUGUAAAUUGAAAGGCCUAAAUAUGUAACUCCAACCUUUCAUUCUCCAAGAGGAAUGAAAAAUUUAUAUGUAUCUAUAUAUAUAAAGCUAAAAUAUUAAAAAAAUGAUUUGACACCUCUCUUUGGCCAACGAUCCUUAUUUAUUUAUUUUUACUUUUUUAUUAUUGUAAUUUUCACUAUAUUUCUAUUUAUAAUUACUAUUAAAAAAUGUGUCAAUUACUAUUCCCUUCAUUAAAUUUCUAUUAUUUAGUAUAAGAAUUUAAAUACCUCAAAUUUUAUUACUCCACUUAUUCCUAUUAUUUAUUGUAAAUUUAAAGGCAAAACUAUUUAUCACUCAAAUCUUUCAUUUUCUCCUUAACGAAUGAAAAUUUAUUAAAAUAGAGUAGUCUAAUGAAAUAUCAUUUCAAAUAGCUUGAAAAAAAUUAACCAUCCCUUUAACUCCUAAUUAUGAGAUUUCUCUUUUUAUCUGAUUUUCAAUAAUCUAAAAAAUAUUUACAUAAUUAGUCAAUUAAAGAAUAAGAUAAUUACUCACUAAGUAAAUUUUAAAAAUGGAAAUGCGUAACUCUCCAAAAAAAAUUCUAACACAUUUAUAUUUAUUACGUUUCAUGAUGAACCCAUGAUUAAAGUUGACAGUAAAAAAAUAUUGCACUAGCGAAAAAAGAUAAUUUUUUCCCUAUUUUCUUAAUUAUUUUAUUAGUUUAUAAGAAUAAAAGUCACAAUUAUUAUCGUUUAUUGUCCAAAUUUUUCAUAUUCUUUAUUGAAAAUCAAAACUCAUCCACAUAUUGAUAUAUGAAAUCAUUGAUAAUCGCUUUUAACUUCUUCAUCUUUAUGUAGUGUUUGGAUUACAUAAUUUAUUCAGUUUCUAUACAAAUUUGAUAUUUGAGCUCUCUUGUGUAUUUAUUAUUUCUUAUUUUUAAUGUAAAUUUUUUACGAAAUAUUAAUUUUUAUGACUUUCAUAUGAAAGUUUGUGUAGAUAUAUAACAAAAAUUUUAGGCUAUUAAUUUUAUCAAUUAAACAAAUUAAUAUGCUCAUAUUUUAAAGUAAUAAUUGUGAAAAAUUUAAAUUAUAAGCAAGAAAAAUUACAUGAACUCUAAAUUUAUAUAGUUAUAUAAAUAUAUAAAUGUAAAUAGUAUUAUAUAAAGGAAAUUAUUAGUGAAAUAACAUAAGUAAUUUAAAACACCCAAAAAUGAGAUAGCAACGUAUAUAAAAUUGGCGCAUAAAGAAAUAUGUCUUUGUAUUGUUCCAAGGAAAAAUUAUAAUUCUCUUCUUAUUUUCUUGAAACUAAUUUAAUUCUAUUGUUUUUUCUUUUAUUGUUAUUUUCUGUUUGAUUUUUCCAUUUUCAUAUAUAUAUAUAUAUAUAUUAGUAUUGCAAUUCUUAAUUUUUAUAUAUCAAUUAAUAUAGAAAAAUAUAACUGCGCGAAGCACGGUUUGCUUAUCUAGUAUUAAAUAUAUGUAAUGAACUUUAGGAAUAUAUGCAAUGAACCUCCAUUAAAAUCUGGAAGAGUAAACAAUCCUCCUUUGAGCACAUGAACUCUCCAUUUACUCAAUGUAGUAAUUGAUUAUCACUAAUAUUUAAACAUGUAAUUAACUAAAUAUUUUAAUUUAAUGUAGGAGUGAAAUGGUAUUUCAACUUUUAACUUUUUUUGUUCCCACUUUUAGUUAGAUAUGAUGAUAUGAUAUAUGAUAUAAUACAUGUCAAUCCUAAUAUGUUUAAACAACAAAACAAAUGAUAAAAUUAAACGAACUAAUUUUCUUAAAUUAAUGAGAUCAUCAUAAAUUUUAAAAACAAAUAAAAAAUUAUAGUACCCUUAAUCAUGAGGAUAGAAGAAGUCAGUAUUGUCGUUAGAUAAAUAAUUUGCAUUUGUUAAGACAUCUUCUUUUUACUACCGAGUGAUGAUGCUUCUUCAUUGGCCAACUUGACCAUGCAAAAUUUACCAGGUCUUACUUUAUUACAUAUCCAAGUUAAUGUUAAUAUACUAGUUCAAAGAUAGUUGGAAGUAACAGAAAAAGAGGUAAAGAUUAGCAAAAGUAAAUUACUGAGCUAGGAGAACUACUUCAUUAUGUCUUGAUAUUUUCUGGUGAGCGUAAUGCGGACUUUGAGUCUCACUAAAGCUCCGUGCGCCACGACAGUAAACUAUAAUAUGGAUGGAGGACUACACUGGCGGCCUCGUUUGAGGCUCGUGUGAAGUGUAUGCACGCGGGUGUGUGCUGGUGUAAUAUAUAUAUAUAUAUAUAUAUAUAUGUAUGGAAUGAAAAGAUGGUAAAGAGGUUAGCUAAUAGCCAAAAGCUAUCUCAUUAAGGCAUACAGCCAAUUAGUACAUAAACCUCAACCAUAUCCAAACUCUUAACAGUGAAAUGUAGAAAUCACAACAGCGUUACACUAAUCUGGUGAAGGAAGAAAAUUCCAAUACAUAAGAAGGCUCUGGUGAUUGAACUCAUUUACUCAAAUUUGUAAUGCUUGUCCACUUCUUCAGAAACAUCCCAAGUGCAGCUCAUUCCUUUGGGGAACUCAACCAAGUCGCCUGCGCCUAUCUCAACAGCCUGAUUAGAACCAUCAGGGUAAACCUUCACCUUUCCCUUCAGCAAGUAACAUGUCUCUUUGGCAGAGUAUGUCCAUGGGAAUUUGCUAGGAGGACAACCCCACCUAUUUCACAAAUAAGUCUCUACUUAGGAACCAGAAAAAAACAAAUAGGGUGGGACUAAACAAUUAUGCAAAAUGACAGUCAGAUUAAACACAAGCCAACUUAUUGAAGACACUGGAUGAGCUACUAAUACAGAAUUACAGGAUCGAAGGAGUAACGAAAGAUAAACCACCCCUUUAAAACAUGCUGCAUGAGAUGAUCAGAGUGAACAGCUAGUGAAGGUUAAAUAAGUACCCCCAUUUUAGCACAGUGCAAACUGUUUCUACGCAUCGUAAAAUAUCUUCUCUAGGUAAAAAAAUGCUUCCAAGGCAAGUAAUUGAUGCAGAAAUGGAAGGUUCAGGCUUUGCACUUUUAACAAUCCCAUUCUUACAAUUUGGAUGCUUAGCACAAUUUAAUGGGAUGGUGCUGUUAAGGUGAUAAACUUCUAGGCAUCAGUCUGAAUUGCAAACUAUUAUGCUUAGUUACUGCAGAAAACUGCUGUAUUAUCCCCUCCCCUCUUUAGUUUUUUUCCCUUUGUUUAUUUCUCUUCUAUGUUAAUUGAGUUUAAUCCUAUGAGAGAAGGGAAAAAUUUCCUAUUUUGCAUAGCUAACAAUUUUAUAUAUCUACAAAGAUCAGACAACUGUAUGUAGACAAGCGAAAGAUGCUGCACAAGUUUGAAACCGGAAUACUUUGAUCCGGAAUAAUCAAUGUCAAUAAGACUUCAGGUGGACCAACAACCUGACAUCCACAAUUUAUAGAAAACAGUUCUGCCCGCUUCAAGAAUUUCGCAGAGCUGGAGAAUGAUAAAAUGCCAAGAGUGUAUUAUGAUGAGGAACAAUGCUUCAGAAAAUUUCUUGGCCACCUAACUUUAGACAUCAAGAAGAAAAUCAAGGCAAAGCUUCUGUAGGUAUUUAACUAUACACAGGUUAGAGAGGCCAAAUUAUGAUUUCAAGACGUGGGGCUAAAAGGAAAUGUAUCCUUUAUGUUAGGAUAAUAAACUACAAUUGAGUAAACAACAUUUCAUGAGAUUAACAUGCUCAGAUAAGUGCACUAAAACCACUGCCACCCAAAACAGCACUUUUAAUUUAAACUAUGACACCUUCCUUGAGCUUAUACAUGCUUGCUGGAGCCUGAAUUUGCUUUUCUACAACAUACUCUACUUAAACAUUUUUUUUCUCCCUGCAAUGUUGAUGAUUAAGGUGUCACUUCAUCCACCCUUGAGAUCUUAGAAGUGGAGACCCAACAUAUAUUUACGAACAUACUAAAGGUGAUUCGGAGCACCCUGAGAGACUGGGAUUUUGGGUACUGUAGGUGGAUUACAGUUGAGGAGGUUAAACGCCCUAUUAUGAAGAUGAGCAGGGGAAAAGCAACCAGACCAGAUGAGAUCCCGAUGGAGCUUUGGAAGAGCAUAGACAGGGUAGGUAUGGAGUGGUUAACUGAUUUGUUUAAUGUCAUUUUUAAGACAGGUAAAAUGCCAUAAGCAUAGAGGUGGUGUACAAUGGUUCCAUUGUAUAAGAACAAGGGUGAUAUCCAAAAGUGUAACAACUACAGGGGUAUCAAGUUGUCAAGCCACACUUUGAAAGUUUAAGAGAGAGUGGUGGAGUUGAGAGUAGGCGGGGUGUGUCUAUUUUCGAGAACUAGUUUGGAUUCAUGUCGGGCGAUCCACUACAGAAGCCAUCAAUCUUGUACGGAGAUGGGUGGAAAAAUACAGAGAAAGGAAGAGAGACCUACAUAUGGCGUUCAUUGACCUUGAAAAGGCCUAGGACAAAUUCCCGAGGGGCAUGCUCUGGAGAUGCCUAGAGGCUAAAAGGGUACCGAUGGCUUACAUUAGGGCGAUAAAGGACAUGUAUAAGAGCUAAAACGCGAGUUAGAAUGGUGGGAGGAGACUCGGGGCACUUUCCAGUAGAGGUGGGAUUGAACCAAGGAUCAGCUCUUAGCCCGUUCCUAUUUGCCUUGGUGAUAGAUGAAUUGAUGCAGUCCAUUCAAGUUGAGGUGCCUUAGUGUAUGUUUUUUGCAGAUGUCAUAAUAUUGAUUGAUGAGAUGUUCAAUGGAGUUAAUGCUAGGUUUGAGGUGUGGAGACAAAUUUUGGAGUCUAAAUGGUGCAGGUUAAGCAAGACCAAACCAAAGUAUUUGAAGUGCAAAUUCAAUAAAGCAAUGCAAGAGGGUAAGUGAGGCUUGAUACUCAGGCUAUCACCAAGAAAGAUAGUUUCAAGCAUCUUGAGUCUAUAAUCCAGGAACGUGGAGACAUCGACGAUGAUAUCACACAUUAUAUUGGUGCAACGUGGAUGAAAUAGAGGCUUGCAUCCGGAGUCUUGUGUGCUAAAAAGGUACCACAAAAACUUAAAGGUAAGUUUUAUAGUGUAACACCUUGGACUUUGGAGAAGGUAAGGGAGGUUAACAUGCAAGUCCUCAAACCCAAAAUGGACCUAGAACCCUUCACGGAACCCUAAACAGUCUGUGUAGGGCAUCACUGGCCAUUUUAAGGGAAGUAGACCAACCGUUAAAAGGCUGUUAGGACCUGAGGGUCUCCCGAACGGAUCCCUAUACGGUCUUUGGUGACCUAAACGGACCAUUUAGGGAUCCAUAUAGGUCACCCAUCAGCUUUUAAGUUUGGGGUCAUUUUGGUCUUUCCCCUAUCUGUUUGGUACCUGAUUAUUUUCGAUCAAACACAUAUGGAGACCCUUAAACUUGUCCCUAAAUUUCAUUUUGGCACUCCAACUCAACCUUGUUCCAUUUUAACCCUUUAACUCCAAUUUUUAUGUUUCAUUUAGGCACUUUUAAGUGAUGUGGCAGAGUGUGUGCAUCACACUUUCUCUAAGAGAGUGAAAGACAAAAAAAAUGUUUUUUUCUUUAAAAAAAUAAUAAAAGAUUGACCCUUCAACUUUUUUGAUGUACCAUUUAAACAUAAAAUACUUAUUUUACGAUUUCUUUAUUUCUAUAUAUGCUCUUCAACUGCAAUUUUGCAUUUUAAAAAUCGACGUUCAUCCGUUAGGUAUUGUAAAAAAAAUUAAAAAUUCACAGAUGAUCAUUGAUUUUUUUUUUUUUUUUUUUUAAAAAAGUAACAAUUUCUUUAUGAGAGUUUCUUUGUAUUUUUGUGUGAAAAAUAACCUACGAAAGUGCGUCGAUUUUCUUUCUUAAAAAAAUCAAUGAAAACCCAACGAAGUGUGUCGAGUUUAAGCGUUUUUUGUAGUGUUAAUAAUUAGCAGUGAACAUGAGUUUUUUUUACUCGUAUUUAGUUGAUGAAAAAUUAGAAAACUGGUAUUUGAGUUAAAUCCAAAUAGACUAGAUAUGGAAAAAAAAUAUGUGGUGUCAUUUAAUUUAAUUAAUUGUUUUAAAAAAGAAAAACAACACACUUUCGUCGGUUAUUUUUUUACAUAAUAAUGUACAGAAACUCUAAAAAAAUAAUUUAAAAAUGAUGUUCAUCCGUUAAUUUUUUUUUAAAGAUAUGACAUUGAUUUUUAAAAUGAAAAAGUGGAAAUGAAGAACAUAAAUAAAAAUAAAGAAAUCAUAAAAUUAGUAUUUUGUGUUUAAAUGGUAUAUAAAAUAGAGUUGAAGGGUUAAAAUGGAACAAGGCUAAAAUACAGUGUCAAAAUAAAAAAUGGGAGCAAGUUAUAUUAGUCGUGUGUGUGUUUUUAAUUGGCUUUUGUGCCAUGUCAUGGAUGUGAAGUACACACAUCCACUUUGUUGAUUCUUUGGAAAGAAGUGCCUAAAUGGAACAUAAAAAUUGGAGUGGCCCAGUGGUUUGGGCUUGGGACUUCCAUGUUGGAGGUCUCAAGUUCAAAACCCCUUGCCAGCGAAAGCAAGGGGUUUGCCUUCUGGGUCGAGCUCAUCGCACCAGGCUUGCCUAGUGCAGGUUACCUCUCCUAUGUGGUUUGCGAGCUAUUGCAUAGGAGCAGGGGUUUUAUAAUGUGCGCACCCAAAUGGUAGCGGCUGUGGGUUUCCCUUGUCAUCAAAAAAAAAAAUGGAGUUGAAAGGUUAAAAUGGAACAAGGUUGAGUUGGAGUGCCAAAAUGAAAAUUAGAGACAAGUUUAAGGGACUGCAUAUGUGUUUGGGCCAUUAUUUUCCUAUGUUAGGUCUUGAUUAGUUUGGUAUCCGGAUAUGUCAUCAAUGAUCAUGGACCAAGUUUCUAAACCUAUAUCAUUAGUAGUAUGGCACUUUUAGUAUGAAGUUAAUGAUUGUGUCUUAUAAAGCUAUUAUGAAAAGAUCUUGGAUGGUGAAAGGUUUUCUCAUGCAUGGUCUAAGGAGCUACUCUAUGAUGUUUCUAGAUUGGAUUAGUAACUUAAUAAUACUUUUCCAUGGAUGAUAAUAUGAAUAAGAUUAAUGACUAUUCCGUGGAAUUUAACUUAGCAUUGAGAGGAUAUUGAGUUCGUAGAGGUCCAGCCUCUAAUAACAAUCUCCUUGACUGUAACUAUGUGUCACCGUAGGAUGUUGUCUCAGAUAGACAGUAGCUAGUGGAUCCACCUUAGCUCAGACUCGUGGUCCUACCUUGGCAAGUAGGACACUCUUUUUUCGGUGUGGGAGCAGUACACUAGAUUCCAUGUUAUAGCUCACAUGGUCUAUGUCAAUUACAUGGUAAACUUCUCUCAAUAAUAAACUAAGGUUACUUUCAAAGUAUCUCACAAGUGUUUUAAAGAUGGUCAGCUUGCAUUGACCAUGAUUAUGACUUAUGUUUCUAACCUUUUGUCUUAUGAGUUACUUGGUCAUUGCAUGCCAUGUAAAGUCCUUUUAGCAUGAUUUCAUAACUCCUAUGCAUUGCUAUCACUUGGAUUUGCUACACUUGAGCCGAGGGUCUUUUGGAAACAACCUAUCUAUCUCCACGAGGUAGUGGUAAGGUAUGCGUACACUCUCCCUCCCCAGACCCUACUUGUGAGAUUCCACUGGAUAUGUUGUUGUACUAAAGAUGAAUUGAAGAAACAAAAGUCAGAUGGAUAUGUGCUUCCUGGAGUCAUCAAUCGGGUAAAAUGUUUCUGAAAAAAGACAAGGAACUAAAAACUGGAUAAUGGGUUAUUUAAACAUGAUGAAUAGGAAGGCUCGCUAAGUUCAUUGGCAUAAGAUAAGGAAAUAAUUGCAACAUUAAGUUUGUAGAAAUCAAGAAUGGUGCGACUAUUCUAACUUCUAUGAUAGCAGCAAUAACCAUCAAGAUAGCUUCUUCUUUCUCUAAAAUUAAUCCUGGUGUGAUGGAACAUCAACAUAUCCCUAUUCCCUUGCCACUAUGGUCAUCAUGAGGUGAUCUAAUGAUUUUAUAGAUGAGAGCCACCAUGAGAAUUUGACUAAUUUUUCAAUCAGCGCUUGCUUAUUUAUUCUGAUAUCCAUCAGAUUAAAUGGAAGCUUUUUGAAAUAGACAGUAGGCAGAAGCCCUGUGACUCAAUUAGAGAAAACCACAACAUUAGAUUCAAAGGAAGAAAAGCCUAUUAUCUUUGUGAGGAUAGGGUUGUCCCCAGGGAUCCGAUCAAGUAAAUACAGUGAUCUAUCAGCAAAUGAAAAGAUAAAUAAGCACAAGGAACUCGGGAGAAAUAAGAUUCGGGAUAACUCAGGUUCCUUCAAAUCAGUUCAAAGAGAAAAGGACAUGAAAUAAUAAAGGCUGAGUUUCAUCAGUGCUCACCCCUACACGUAUAUUGGAGCAAGAGCGGUGCUAACUUUUGCACAGGAUUGACUGACUGACUCACUGAGAAUUCCUUCUAAACUGGAAAUUCCAUCCAUGCUGUGUCCAAACCUCAGCUACACUCACUUGUUUAUUCACUGCCAAGUCAUGCAUCUCUGGAAAGAUACUUUUCAAGCUAAAGUUGCCCAACCAUUUAUCCUCCCAAAAUGAAGUCUUGAUGCCAUUUCCUACCCUGAUGGUCGUAUUGAUCUUCAAGAGAGGCCACAAGAUUCUAAUGGACUUCCAUAGGCUUACCCCAUAUGGUGUAAGGACCUCCUUUGUCAUCCACUUGUUCUCCUCUCCAUAUUUUGCUUGAAUUACUUUUCCCUAGUAUGGUUGAGGCUCUUGAGAAUACCUCCAUAACCACUUUAGUCUAAGGGCUUUGCUCUGCUUUUUCAAAUUCCUUACUCCAAGACCCCCCAUGUUUCUUCCCCCAGAGAACCUUCUUCCACUUGACUAAAUGUUUGACAGUGGAAUCAUUUUCCUCUGUCCCUUUCCAUAAGAAAUCCCUCCUAAUUUUAUCAAGUCUUUGUAUCACCCCAUUAGGAAUAGGGAAGAUGGACAUCAUGUAAGUAGGUAAGGCAUCCAAAAUUGAAUUAAUGAGAGUGACUCUGCCUCCCAAGGAGAUAUAUUGAGAUUUCCAUUUGGUAAGCUUGUUCUCACACUUUUCAAUCACUGGUUCCAGAUGUUCAAAGCCUUUGGUUUGGCACCUAAGGGCAUGCCCAGAUAAAUGGUAGCAAAGAACCUACUUCCCCUCCCAAAAUCCAAGACAGUUCCUCCAUAUUAGAGACAUUAUUAAUAGGAUACAACUGACUCUUUCUCCAGUUGAUAUGCAAACCUGAGACUCCUUCAAACAGCACCAAGAUUGAUCUUAAAACCAAUAGUUGUCCCUCAUUAGCAUCACAAAAUAUUAAGGUGUCAUCUGCAUACUGUAAAUGAGUGACUUCCAUGUUGCUAUUUGAUAUUGAGGUUUGAGUUGUGGCUACCUCAAAACCCCUGAGGCUGAUGGGCCUAAAAUCUCUCAGUUCCUUGGCACCUUUCUUCUUUGGGAUCAAAGCAAUGUAGGUGGCAUUAAAGCUCUUCUCAAAGAUAUUAUGAGAAUGGAAAUUCUUAAAGGUAUCCAUGAUAUCCUUCUUCACUACAUCCCAACACUUGAUAAAAAACCCCAUUGUGUAGCCAUCUGGACCAGGAGCUUUGUCCAUGGCACACAUCUUCAGACAUGCUAGUACUUCUUGCUCCUCAAAUUCCCUUUGUAAUAGUUCAUUUUCAGCUUCAGUGACCAUUGGACAGUUGAGGUUGCUGGAAGGUCUUCUAUAUGAGGUUUCUAAAUAAAGCUUCUGAUAAAAACCAAUAAUCUCCCCUUUAAUUCUCUCUGGAUCCUUCACUGUUUCAUCUUGAAAUAUCAGUUGAUCAAUGUUGUUGCAUCUUUUGUGUGCAUUGGCCACUUUGUGGAAAUACUUAGUAUUUUUGUCCCCCUCUUUCAGCCACACAACUCUUGAUCUUUAUCUCCAUGCUAUCUCUUCAUUUUUAAGAUGCUCUUCAUAGUUCAUAAUCAAAGAUGCCUUCAUUGCUGAUUCUUCUUCUGUUAGGACUCUAUUCUCCAUUACCGCAUCCAACAUAACUAACUGACUUAGGAUUUGGACCUUUUGUAACCCUAGGUUGCCCAAGCUGGUUCUACUCCACUCCUUCAAUUUGCCUUUUAGGGCCUUGAGCUUACACCCAAGGAUAUAAUCAUGCUUACCAGUGAAUACAAAAGACUCCCACCAUUCUCUAAUUUUUUCCACAAAACCCUCCGUGUUGAGCCACCAAUUAUCAAACUUGAAAUAGGAUUUGUUUUGCUCCCAAGCUCCACAUUGUAGAGCAAUGGGACUGUGAUCAGAGCACAGUCUCGGUAGCACCACUUGUUGAAUUUGCUAAAGUUGGCAUCCCACUCCUUCAAAAUUAAAAUCCUAUCAAUUCUAGAAGCAACAUUGUUAUUGUCCCCUUUAAACCAAGUGUAGUUACCCCCUAUCAAUUGUUCCACCAAGUCCAUAUCUUCAAUAAAAUCAGAGAACUCUAUCAUACCUAGAGUUCUCCUUUUGCAAUUUCUCUUUUCUGGUGGAUAUCUUAUGAUGUUGAAAUCUCCACACACUGCCCAAGGUCCCUCAAAAAGACUUCUAACAGCACCUAUUUCCUCCCACACAUGCUCUCUCUCAACUCUGCCAUUAGGAGCAUAGACUCCUGUUAUGUGGCAAUUGAAAUCCUGAAGCACUGCCUCAAACUUGCAGGUGAGGAUGUAGGAACCUGUUUCCAGCACUUCCCCUUUCCAUGAUCUACUGCCCAUAACAUCAAAAUGCCCCCCCUAGUGUCACUUGCUUGUAAACAAGCAUACUUAACCCGUCUACCACCCCAGAUAUCUUUUAUUAUAUCAUGGAUCUCCCUCUCUAACUUUGACUCUUGUAAACAUACAAUGUCAGCCUUCCAGUUGGAGAUUAAACUCUUCACAAAUCUCCUCUUAUCCCCACUAUUCAAUCCCCUAACAUUCCAGGACACAAGUUUUACUUUCAUUGUAAAACUUUGUCCUAUUUCCCCCUCUCUCUCUUCCCCUCACAUUUGAAAUUAAUAUCAAAAGAAGUCAGCAUUUUCAAGUCCUGAACCCCCUUGUACCUAGGCCUUUUGCUAAUAGAAUCACUUUCCAUCUUCCUAGCUUGUCUGCAACUGUCUAUUUGCAUAGGUAGCUCCAGAGAUUCCUCCUCAUGUCCUUGAAAAUCCACACCAAACAUUUUUCCCAGCUUGAUAAGAUUUUUUCUUACCCACAUAGAUGUCUCCUUUUCUUUUUGUACUGCAGAGCUCAUGCCAUUUUGUAUGGGAUACACAUCUUCCACCACCCACUCCUCAAUUUAUUUGUCAGUCUGCAUGCUUGAUGUGGUAUUUUGGAUCCUUCUGAAUUUCCAAAAUUAAAUUUGCUUUGUCACUGCUAACCUCCAUCGCCAUCGUUUUGAGGGGAUUCAAAGCAUCUCCUGAGUUUACAAUUGAGUUCCCAUGUUCUGCAUGCCCUUCAUUUGCUGUAGUAUCAUGUUGUAGAAGAGUGCUCUUAAGAACUGGAGCAUGGUCCUUUAUUUCAAAGCAUAAAGAAUCAAUAAAGGCAACCUCACUUGGGCCUAAUAAGUCAUUUAAAAUGAUAUUUGCUCUAUCAGGCCCAAUCUUUUUUUUACUAUUGCCCCAGCCCAAUUUUUUUCUAAAAUAGACUUGGGUCUCCACUUCCUUAGCACAUGAGUGUGGGGUCUCAUUUAAAAAGACUCCAGCUGUCUCUGGGAGCCCCAUGUGCCUCAUCUGCACACCAUCUGACUUUUUAAAAAAAAAUUGUCCUUUAGAUAGCUCUAUUACCUGUUGGUCCAAAGAUAGUGGCAGACCUCCAUGUUCUUUGCUGCACUCUCCCAGCUCCGGCAUGACUAGCUGGUGAUUUUCUUCUACCGUCGGCGUCAAGAUUUGGAAUCGAACUUUCGUCUCUACCCAAAUUGGGAUAAAAAAAAUUUAUCCCGUCUCUCUCAAUCGAAAUCUCGCUCGGGCAGUUUUUUCCAUCUCCACGGAUUUUAAUUCUUGUCCACUUCAAAUGGUUCUUCAAACCCGUCUCCUCCACAAAGAUUUCCAAUUUCUGUGAAGAUUCUUUGUGACCAUAGUUGUAGAGGUACUCCUAAAGCUCUAAUCCAAGUAGCUUUGGCUUUUUGAUUGGAAUCUUCACAUCCUACUACAGGGUUCCACCACUGAAGAUUAAAUUUGAUCUUCCCCCACCUCUGUAUGAUUUGUUCUGCCAUGUACCUGUUUGGAAAUUCGAAGAGGAAUAUGUUGUUGGCCGUCUUGUAAAUGUUGAUCCCAAACACUCCUUUCCAAGAGACUGCAAUCCAUCUCGGGAAGUUGUAUUUCACCCUCAUCAAAAGAGCCCACAAUGCACCUCUUGAAAAGUCCAGACUCCAGUGUCUCUUACCCCUGGUGUCUCUGUAACUUGAAGGUUUCCUUCACUGUACGAGAUCUUCGUCUCACCCGAAGUGUUUGAUCUCCAUUUGCUUUCCCCAGCUGCUGUGGCAUAAGAGAGGUCCUUCUUAAAUAGUUUGGGUUGUACUGCAUUCUUCAGUUGAUGAGAGCAUUGAAUGAACCUCUCUAUCUUAGAGGCUAUCUCAUCCCACCCAGCAUCUGUAGCUAACUCUGGGGGACUAUUAUAACUACUCUUUCCCGACCAGCAAGAGUUAAAAUGCUCAAGAAUCUACUGUACUCAAUCACUUUCCUAGUGCAGAAAGUGUCAGUAAAUUUUUCUUUGUAUUUCCAUCUUCUGAUUUCUUUUUCUCUAUCCUUGGAUGCUUCCUUGAAGACUGUGCAGAGCCAUUUCAUGAUUUUCACACUCAUGGAAGACCUCAUCAUUUUGCGACUUCUCUCGACCCAUUCAAACCAAAUGUCUCUCCCCACUGUCCAUCUUGUGAUAUCGAAAGACUUGAAGCCUGCGUUGAAAUAUAUCCUGUUUUCCUCCAUCAAAGAUCUAGACUGUUGAUCCUUCUGUUGGUUAGGUUUUUGCUGCAAACAAGCAGAUUGAAUUUCUCUUGUAUAACCAUACUAGUGUUUCCAACUUCUCAAGAAAUAUAAAGCUUCCUUAUUAUGGUUUCUACUUAAAUGAUGAAGAGAUGUGGAUUGAAAAGAUAAGAUUGUUUUUAGAAGGUAAGUGACCGAGUAUUUUCUGAGAAAUGGGUACUAUAAGUAUAGCAAAAUAAUGAAUUGGCAUUCGAGCUCUAAUACCAAAAUCUAUGCAACACCACAAGCGAAGAGGGAGAAGAAUAGAGCGAGAAAGAAGAUCUGGAAAGAAGAGCAAGAUAGAAGUCAGAUCAAUUCACAGAGCAUCUUUAGUCAAGUAUUUUCCCAAACGAAGCAAUAAAUGGUCCUGUUUAUAGUAUGCAACACUAAACAAGCUAGAUGUGGGAGAUAAUAAAAACUUGUUCACGAGAUAAGGGCAGAUACAAACUUAAACUUAGAGGUGAGUAUGUUUCUCUCUCGACACACAGUAGCCUAACCUGCGCCACCCAUGGGAAAGAGAGUUCGCACUCCCUCUCAGAAGGUACUCAUGUCCCAAGAGAAUGCAUCUAAGGCUGGCAAUCAACAGAAGAAGAAAGGAAAUCAAACAAUCAAGGAGGUUGUGAAGGUCACUAAUGGAACAGUUACUCCAGGGACUGCUGCACAUCGUACAGGAAUAGUGGUCUAUCAUAUCCAGGUUGAACUGACUCAGGAAGAAGGGGCGGCUCACAAGCAAGCUGAAAUUGCUUCAACACAAUUAAGGAGCACACUGAGGAGGAAGGAUAACCAGGUGACGGAGGAAACCCUAGAGAAAACCAUUGGAACAAUAACUGUAGGUUACUGUAUCUCCAAGCAGUUCUAAAGUGGGAAAUCACAUACAGCAGCUCAGCCCUGCAAGUCAGGCCACAGUAACGUCCCGAAAUACCUUGGGCAGAUAAGGUUGAAAGCUCACAUGAGUUGAACAAGAAUAGGUCCAUAUGGGACAAUUUUGAUAUUACCAAAAUCUCUAAUGCAGGGUUUAAGCUUGAAUUGGUAGAACCUGAAAUGCAUGGUGAGGUAGGAUAUUAGUACUGAAAUAGCAUAUUGGAAGAAUGUUGUAAUAUGAUAUGUAUUGGGGGACACCCACCCUUUUCUGUACUGAAUGGCUACAUCCAUAGACUAUGGGCUAAAAAUGGGAUUAACAAGGUGGCAAUGCUAAAGAUUGGAAUUGUUUUGGCCAGGUUUGAUACAAACCUGGGGAAGGAUUGUUGAAGUUUGCUUUUAGUUACUGUAGUAACAGAGAAUCUUCAAAACCAAGCUACUGGACAAAGUUUCACAAAUCAAGGAAUCUGGAAAGGAAGGCAAAUCAUGUCAAGAAGGAAGAAGAUCAUGAACAUAUAUGAUAUGGACGUGAUCACAAUCUACCCUAAAUCAGACUCGGUCAAGGAAUUCACUACAAAUCCUUGAUUGAAUGAAAUACCCAUGGGUUUUUCCUUAUAAGAGCAAAGAGCUAGAUCAUACAAACUAGACUUAGGAUUAGAGGAAGUCCACGCACUUCACUCUAUUGUAUUAUCUUUCUUUCAUCCUUCAUAAAACAUUUGUACCUGUGUAUGAAACUAUGAUUUUGGAUUUGCCGGAUGACUUGUUUAUCAAAUUAAUGCUCCUAAGAUUUAUGGACCUUUCUUGGACAAAGAUAAAACGGUUGCCAGAUUCUAUUUGUGCAUUGUAUAACUUGGAGACACUCCUCUUGUCAUGUUGUUAUUGUCUUGAGGAGCUACCGCUGCAGAAGGUUGAUUAAGUUUGUUGAAGUUUGCUUUUAGUUAUUGCAGUAACUUUUAGCAAUAAGUUAUUUAGUUUGAAUAAAUUUGAAUUUUGAAUUUUGAAUUUUAGUUUGUUUGUUUAUGUUGUUGAGAUAUUUUAGGUUUAAAUUUUAAAUUAUGCAGAUUAUGUGUUUUAUGUUGGCUAUUUAAAGCCCCUCAAUGCUUAAUAAAAUUAUUGAAAUCUAUUGAAAGUCAUUUCAAUCCAUUGAGAGAAAUUUUCAAUCUUUUUUGCCCCAUUUUUAAAAAACACCAACAGUGGUAUCAAGAGCUUCAUUGAUCUUAAGGGAUUUGUGAAAUCUUUCAAAGAACUACCAUACAUUUUUAACCCAUAAGGGCUACCUUUUUAACCCAUCAAGGCUACCUUUUCAACCGGUGCUUUUUUCAACGCAUAUGCUUUUCUAUAGGAAGGCAAAUCAUGUCAAGAAGGAAGAAGAUCAUGAACAUAUAUGAUAUGGACGUGAUCACAAUCUACCCUAAAUCAGACUCGGUCAAGGAAUUCACUACAAAUCCUUGAUUGAAUGAAAUACCCAUGGGUUUUUCCUUAUAAGAGCAAAGAGCUAGAUCAUACAAACUAGACUUAGGAUUAGAGGAAGUCCACGCACUUCACUCUAUUGUAUUAUCUUUCUUUCAUCCUUCAUAAAACAUUUGUACCUGUGUAUGAAACUAUGAUUUUGGAUUUGCCGGAUGACUUGUUUAUCAAAUUAAUGCUCCUAAGAUUUAUGGACCUUUCUUGGACAAAGAUAAAACGGUUGCCAGAUUCUAUUUGUGCAUUGUAUAACUUGGAGACACUCCUCUUGUCAUGUUGUUAUUGUCUUGAGGAGCUACCGCUGCAGAAGGUUGAUUAAGUUUGUUGAAGUUUGCUUUUAGUUAUUGCAGUAACUUUUAGCAAUAAGUUAUUUAGUUUGAAUAAAUUUGAAAUUUGAAAUUUAGUUAGGUUGUUUAAGUUGUUGAGAUA
rnacentral:lncRNA from 1 species